rnacentral:lncRNA from 1 species
AACAUUAUUAAUUCAUUCUCAUUAUAUUAUCAUGGAAAGACAGAAACAAUAUUGAAUUACAAAUGUACCUUCGGCUUGAUAGAAGGUAAAAAGUACAAGCGUGACGCACAAGCGAGUACAAGUCAGCGUGAACAGUACGGGGUUAUUGUUCAUCUAUUUAUAGGCACAGGGUGCCGCCUAUGUAAAAUUACAUUUAUGCCCUUCAUGUUUACUACUGAUACUAGAACAAUCUAUCGAGGACUAAAUAGCCUUUUCCUCUUUAAGUCGGUUCCUUUUCUGCUACUGAGCCGAAGCUUCCUUGUGCGUAGCUUCGGAGCCGGUUCGACCUUCGUCCCGACCGUUCUUUUCAUAUUGCGAACAGCUUCAUCCCGAGUCCGAAGGUUCCUGUACAUAUAUUACACUUGGGAAACAUUGUUAAUCAUGUUUUUGAGGACCUUCGGAAGACGAAGGCCCCCAACAAUAGCCCAUCGCAAUAUUAAUUUGUUAAGAUAACGAAUUCAGACUGCGAUAUGGACGAAGGCCUUAAGCCGAAGGUCCGAAAAAACACCUUUACUUUGCUAGAAUAGCAAUAAACAAUGACAUAUGGGGCCCUCCACUUUGCAGCGUGCUGAAUGUAUAAAUAAGAACUCACACCAGCUGCAUUUGAUACGCUGCUUGUGCCAUUUGCUUUAUUUUCCCAAUUUUAUAGCUCUUGCUCACUAGCGCUUGCUAAUUUUUGAAGCUCCCUGAGCUUCGGUUUAAAACACGAGUUUUCAUCAUUUGUGAAGAAAAAAUGUCUCAAGACAAGAAGGUUGCUGCUGAGAUGAAGCUGACUGAAGAGAAUUUUUUUGAGGAGAAGAAGACUGUGGAUUCUUACAUUGCUGGAUUUGUCGAGUCGAUGGCAAAAACAAAUACGGAGAAGAUUACUAAAGAGAUAUUGGAGGGCUUGUCCGAAGGUACUGGUCACAGCGAUAGCUAUGAUGUGGAAAGUGGGGAAGAAGAUUCUGAGGAUCGGCCCUGGAGGCCAAGUCAUUCAAUCUUCGGAAAAUCGACCAUCAGACAGAGUCAUCUUGAAAAUAUGAGAGGAGGGUACUUUCGGGAUUUGUCUAUUGUGAGGGCUCGCGGCGACAAUAACGUCCCUGCCCCUGAGGAGAACGAAGUUGUGAUUUUCCGAAGUUUCUUCAAGGCUGGGCUUCGGUUCCCUUUGAGUAAGUUUGUAGUUGAAAUGCUGAAGACCUACCAAAUCUUCUUCCAUCAAAUCACCCCCGAAGCCAUAAUAAGGAUGGAGAUUUUUGUCUGGGCAGUAAGGAGCCAAGGGUUAGAGCCAAGCGCAAAGUGCUUCUGUAAUAUGCACGAACUACUAUAUGAGACGAAGGCCAUGGGUAAAGAACAGUACCACAACAACUUCGGUUGUUAUGGAUUUAUUGCCCGCCCCAACGCAAGCCACCCAGUGCUAACAUUUCGGAAGAGAUGGCCCGAAGAUUGGAUGGUAGAAUGGUUUUAUGUGAAGAAUGAUUUGUCAGCGAGGGAAGACAUUAAGGAAGUCAUCAUGCGCCCCAUUUGGUCCCGCUUCGGCCUUCGAAGGCCGAAGGUAGAAAUUGAUGACGCCGCCGAAGCGUGUCAGAAAGCCUUCAGUACUGUCUGCUCAUUCAUUGGUACAAGGGAUUUAAUUCAAGAACAUAUAGCAUUCAGAGUAUGGCCGCUUGUAGAAAUCUGGGAAAUGACGAAGGACACCAUCACUAAGUCUAGCGAAGGUGGUUUGGUACAGUUGAAGUAUACAUUAAGGUUUGGGGAUAAGUUUGAUGAACCAAAUGAUGAAUGGCUGAAGUGUAUCGAAGCUACAAGUGAUGAACUGCUUGGAGCAUAUUCCAAGGCAGAAGAUAAUGCACUGUCCGCAGCCUUCGGAGAUCGGGGAAAGAAGAGACUGAACAGAGUUUUUGACGCCAUUGGCUUUGUUUACCCCGACUACCGCUACCCGCUGCGUGGACAGGGGAAAAGAGGAAAGCUGCUACUUCGGCCACCCCAGAUGAGCCUGUGCCGAAGGGAAAAAAGUUGAAGGUUCUAACUCACCGGCCGCGUUACAUCGAACCGGCCGUGAUACCCGAGUUUUGCGAAGGGGCCUCUUCGGCUGCCAAAACAAAAGAAAUUGUUCCUGCUGCGCAGAGGACUGAAGAGCCGGCUAUAAUACCGAAGUUAGCUUCAGUUGAGCUAGUUGAAAUGAAGGUUGACAAAGAUAAGGCUGAAGGGUCAAAAAUUGAAGAAAUAGCAAAAAUGCCAGAGAUUUUGAGCCCUUCAACAGAGGCAAAAGUGCCGAAGACACAAAAGAAUUCUGCCACAACUCCUAAGAGGAGAAGGAUGGCAAAUGUGCUAGAUGUUGUGUUAGAAACAACAAAAACCUUGAGUUCUACUCCAAGAAAAAUUGUCGAAGCUUCGAAAGCGCAACCCGAAGCUGAAACAAAACAGGCAGAAGUCGAGGCUAUAACAAUUCAAGCUGAAACCGAAGCUGGGCCUUUAGAGCCCGCUGAGACAGAGCCUGCCGUAACUAAAGAAAAGGCGGCAGAGCAAAUUGCGUCUGAAAAGGUUGAAGCUGCUGCUACCGAAGCUUCAAGAGAGAGCACUGAUUACAUCAUUCGUCAUGCUUCGGGGAAGAGACUUUCUCAAGAAGAAAAGCUAGAAGCACUACACUAUGCCCAGAAAUUAAAAUACCCGAAGGGGGCAUUAGUGUUUAAUGGCAGUGGGGAAGAAGAUUUUUUAUACUGUCUCCCGGAUAAUAAAGAGAUAUCCGUCUGCUAGGAGAUAGGUAGAAGCAUCGGAUUCCCGAAGCUGGAAGAUGACCUUUCAAUAUUAUCAAAGGAUGAACUUGCUGACAGCUUGGCGUAUAAUAGCAUAAAGGUAUAAAAGCUAAUUUUGUAUUUUGAAAACGAAAUAUUUUAUUUGCUUAUACUUAAUUCUAUCCUCUUCUUGCAGGGCUUAAUUCUUAGCAAUGCACUUAGGGCUAAAAAAAACAUUGAAGAUGAAGGAUAUACAAUGACUCUGAACAACCUUUGUUCAGAGGUAAUUGAAUUAAGAAACAAAGGUCUUGAAAAAGAUAAAAUAUUGAUUUCAUUGGUAAACAAAGUGAAAGAAGAUGAAGCUAGUUUCAAUGCUCAAGCCGAAAUCCAAAAGAAUGAAAUUGAAGACCUUCAGAAGCAGUUAGCAGAAGCCAAAGAAAAAUGCGCUCUCGCAGAAGCUAACCGGGAGAUCAGUGAAUAUUGGAAAAACCAUUUAGAAAAAAUAGUUGAAGAACUUCGCGCAUCCAAGGAAAGAUGCUUUGAAAAAUCCUUGGGCUGCGUGGAGAAAAUAAAGGCUAGCUUCGCCAACGUGGGCGCCUAUUCUAACGAAGAUAAUUUCAUACGAGGCGACCCUGAAGGUGUUAUCGAAUGGAUAAGUGGAGAGGCCGAAGCUUUCGAAGAAAUAUUAAGUGAUCGCGGGGAUGUCUGCACGUUCUCUGGUGCAAGGGGAAUUUCAGCCAUCCUGGAGAAGGCGGAAUGCGACCACGUCAAGACCCUGGCCCAGGCCGAAGCUGGCUUCUCCGUGGAUGAUACAAAGGAUCCCUCUGCUGAAGCGAGUUUAAUGGGCGAGAAAUUUUACAAUGACAUCUGGGUAAAUGGUGGCCGAGAGAUGGCUCACGAAAUUAUGAAGAAAAGUGAGAAAGACAUCCAUGACACCCGAGUACAAGCAAAACAAGCUGAAGAAGUUGCAGAGCGCGAGAGACGUAUAGGUAUUAUUUCGCGGCAUCUAGCUUCGGCAUUUGUUUUUUGUGGCUUCAGACUAAUUAAUUUUUUCCACUGUAGUUGAACUGUCUCCGCCACCGGAACCGUUCGAUCCUCUGGCCGAUCCAGAAACGAAGGAAGCAUUAGAGAUCAUUAAUAUGGCCGAAUCUAUUGUUGACGAAGUUGUUAACAAAUUGCUAAAUGAAGUUGCGGAGAAGAUCCUGAAAUAGGACUAGUACUUAUUGUAAAAACAUUUUUAGAUGGUCAAUGUAGCUUUGUUGUAACAAGACUGUAUUAUUCGAUGUGUAUAUCUUUGAAUCUAAUAUGUAAAUUAUUUGUAAUUCACUUAUUUGCGAUGCAUGAAACUUUUAUAUACAUAUCGUUUUUGAGCCUUCGGCGAAAAAACACAUUCCCUUCUUUUCAUGCUUCGUAAAGAAAAAGAUCCAUGCUUCGUGAAAAUAUCCAUACUUCGUAAGAACAUCCAAGCUUCGUAAAAACAUCCAUGAUUCGUGAACAAGGGAUCCCUUCUUUUGCAACAGAGCUAAUGAAACUGUAUUUCUCAGCUUACUUUGUGCCUUAGCACAUUUUCAUUUUUAUAGAGCAUUCUACGAAGAUCGACUUUGUAUUCAAUUCGUGUCAUUAGUGCGAUAUGAUGUAUGAUGUGAUGCUAUGCAGGAUGAUGUGAUGAUAUGAUGCAAAGAAUGAUGCUAAUGCCGAAGACACACACCCACACAUCCACGCUGAAACACACAAUCUCUGCGUCCCCUUAGGAACGAUCGAAAUCUCUUUGCCGUUUAUUUUUCGGCUUCACCGCUUAUUUUUUCGUGUAAGUUCUGCAUCCCCUUAGGAACGUCUUUUAAACUUCUUCGCCUUCUAUUUCGGCGGUAUAAGUUCUGCAUCCCCUUAGGAACGUCUUUUGAUCUUCUUCGUCUUAUAUUUCAGCGGUAUUUAGCUCUGCAUUCCCUUUGGAAUGACUUUUGAGCAGAAAACUUACACUGCGCUCCCUUAGGAAUGACUUUUUUUAGCUACGACAAAACUUACACUGCGCUCCCUUAGGAACAACUUUUUGUAGCUUCGGCAAAACUUACACUGCGCUCCUUUAGGAACGACUUUUUGUAGUUUCGGCGAUUUUUAGCUCUGCAUUCCCUUAGGAACGACUUUUGAGCUUCAGCAGUUUUUGAGCUUCGUAAGUCUGUGAAGAAGAUAUAUUCAUUCUGUUAGAAGAGAAACUAUUACAAGGAAUUAAAACUAGAUUUACAUUGAUUGUUCCUUAUUGAAAAACAAAAUGACAUAGAACAUAAAAGUAUUUCGGGGAUAGGAUAUCGCUCAAUAAAUGUGCUUUGAUUCUGGCACAGUACUGUUGACUGUGCGAGCUUCGGAUUCCUCCCUAACUCCCGUAGUUGUUGGGUGUGUUGGUGCCCUUCUGGCUGCUGGCUUCGGGAAUAGGUUGGUUGUAGUGGUGGUGGGGGUGGGAGCUGUGGCCAGGAAGCAUGUGAAUGGCUAGCCGAAGCAGCAGAAGCUGCAGGAUGAUUGCCCACAUAUUCUGGUAUGUAGAGAGAGUGGCACGAAGCAGUGUGCAAGACCUGCUUUGGCUGAUUCUGCCGAGCUUCGGCUUCCGCGAUCUCCUUCUGCUUCUAAAUAGUGAUUUGGCAUAUUUUUGUAGUAUGGCCCUUGUCCUCACCACAGAAUAAGCAAUAAAUCUUCCUGUGCAGAUCCCCAUAUCUUCCUCCGAAGCCCCUGGCACCUCUGCCCCUUGGAGCUGGCGGCCUGAAAGAGCUUUGCUGUUGCCCCGAAGAUUGUGAGGUGUAAUGUGGCCUUUGAAGCUGGCUUCCUUUGUCGUCAUUCUGACUGGAAUUGUGAAUUGACCUCACAUGCCUCAGGUGGAUUCUUCUUUCGAAGCCCCUGGUCAUCUCCGAGAAUCUGUAAGCUUCCUCCCUUCUUUGGCGGAAGUCGUUGUCAGCCUGAAUGUAUUCUUCCAUCUUCUGAAGUAGCUUCUCCAUAGUUUGUGAGGGCUUCCUGGCGAAGUACUGAGCUGUGGGUCCUGGUCGGAGACCCUUAAUCAUGGCCUCAAUGACAAUUUCAUUGGGCACUGUGGGCGCUUGUGCCCUCAGUCGCAAGAACCUUCAGACAUACGCCUGGAGGUAUUCCUCAUGGUCUUGCAUGCACUCGAACAAGGCCUAAGCUGUGACUGGCUUCGUCUGAAAGCCUUGGAAACUGGUCACCAGCAUGUCCUUGAGCUUCUGCCACGACGUGAUUGUCCCUGGCCGAAGGGAAGAAUACCAUGUCUGGGCCACGUUCCGGCCUGCCAUGACGAAGGACUUAGCCAUGACAACUGUAUUGCCUCCGUAUGAGGAUAUUGUUGCCUCAUAGCUCAUCAGAAAUUGUUUUGGGUCUGAGUGCCCAUCGUAUAUUGGUAGCUGAGGUGGCUUAUAAGAUUGCGGCCAUGGGAUAGCCUGCAGCUCUGCUGCUAAGGGAGAAGCAUCAUCAAAAGUAAAGGUAUCAUGACUGAAAUCAUCAUACCAUCCAUUUUCGUUGAAUAGGCCUUCCUGACGAAGCUCCCUGUGUUGGGGCCUUUGGUCUUGUUCAUCUUGAGCAAGAUGACGCACUUCUUCAGUAGCUUCGUCGAUCUUCCUUUGAAGAUCGACCAGCCAAGCCAUCUUCUCCUUCUUCCUUUGCACUUGUUGGUGGAUGAUUUCCAUGUCCCUGAUCUCUUGGUUCAACUCCUCCUCCUGGAGUGUUGGACUGGUGGCCUUUCUUUUCUGGCUUCGAGCCUCUCGGAGAGAGAGAGUCUCUUGAUUUGUGUCCAGUGGCUGCAGUGCAGCAGCCUCUGGCGCAGCUAUCUUCUUCGGUGGCAUGACGAAGGUCAGUGCUUGCCGAAGGUGGUCGAAUGAGUUCACCGGAGGUGGGCGCCAAUGUUGGGGACUUGUUCUCAAAUGCUAUGAAUUAAGAACAAGGCAACAUAAAAUGUUAAAUGUUAAUGCCCUUCGUUUUUCGAAGCAUUAUUUCUCUUAGGACAUAAUGCUCUCCAGACGAAGGUCAUGAAGGACAUACCUUCGUCAUCGCGGUAUAUGUUAAUAAAAGAAUAAGCAUAUGAAAUAUAAGAGACAACAUAAACAAUUAUAUAACAUUAUUAAUUCAUUCUCAUUAUAUUAUCAUGGAAAGAAAGAAACAAUAUUGAAUUAUAAAUGUUCCUUCGGCUUGAUAGAAGGUAAAAAGUACUUGCGUGACGCACAAGCGAGUACAAGUUAGCGUGAACAGUACGGGGUUACUGUUCAUCUAUUUAUAGACACUGCCUAUGUAAAAUUACAUUCAAGCCCUUCAUAUUUACUACUGAUAUUAGGACAAUCUAUCGAGGACUAAAUAGCCUUUUCCUCUUUAAGUCGAUUCCUUUUCUGCUACUGAGUUGAAGCUUCUUUGCGCGUAGCUUCGGAGUUGGUUCGACCUUUGUCCCGACCGUGCUUUUAAUAUUGCGAGUCCGAAGGUUCCUGUACAUAUAUUACACUUGGGAAACAUUGUUAAUCAUGUUUUUGAGGAUCUUCGGAAGACGAAGGCCCCCAACAGUCGCAUAUAUAUAUACCAAAAAUCAAUAGUGCACAUACGCAUGAAUUCGAAAUCACGACAUUCUCAUAUUACAAUGAUGAUUCACAAAAAUUCAUCAAUUAAAUCAAACAUGAUUUCUUGGGUUCUCUCUUGUGGAGGGAGAAGCUCGACGGGGCGUUCGGCCGAGUGGGGAAGGGGCAGGGAGGUUUCGGUCGAGUGGCCGGGGACGGGCGGCGAGCUCGGGCUCCGACGACGGUCGAGCGGGCGUGGCUGCUCCGGUGAGGCGGUGGUUUGGCGUGACGGUGAACGGCGAGCAAGGGAGAGAGAGGGAGCGUGAGAGAGGGAGCGUGAGAGAGGGAGGGCGUUCGGGUAAGGAGAGAGGGAUCCGGCGGGUUUUAUACAGCGAAUGAGGGAGAGGGAGAGAGGGAGAGACGUCGAGGGGAGGAAGAGAACGGUCGGCGACUCCAUCAAUGGACAUCAAUGGCGCUGUUGUUUCUUCUCAGCAUCAAUGGAGAGAGGAAUGGGGGAGGGAGAGGAGAGGAAUCCGACCGUUUCCGGUUUCCGUCGCGGCUUCCGAGCGGGCGCGGGGUCAGCACGCAGGGCACGAUGGCGCUGCUUCCUGGCGGCGCGGCGCGGCGCGGGGAGGGAGAAGAUGCCGGGUGGGCCCCGCCUGUAAGUGGGAGGCGGCGGGAGGGUUAGGGCGUGGCGGCUGGGCCUAAUGGGCCGGCCUGGCCGCGGUUAGGGUUAGGUUUUCCUUUUCUUUUUUUCUAUUUCUUUUCUAUUUCAAAAUAUAUUUUAAAUAACCCUAAAAUUCAUAAUAAUUAUAUCAAGAUUAUUUAUAACUAAAAUAUUUAUUUUUGGGGACUAAUAAUUAUUAUAUUAUUUAAUUGGAUUUUCAUUAAGAAGGAAAUUCUACUAAAUAUCCAAAAUCAAACAUGACUAAAACCAAAAAUUAUUCUCUAUGCAAAAUAAAAAUCAAACAUUAGAAAGAAAAUUUAUUACCCUAAUUAUCAUAAUCUUAAAUGUAUUAUUUUAGUUGAUGGUUUUUAUAGUGUUACACCUGGAUAAUAUUUUGUGAUGGGUCAUGGGGAACCUUCGGCGCAGGAGCAGAUGCCGUGUUAAUUUCACCAUCUAAAAUCAAAACCUGCUAUGCAGCAAGGUUAGACUUCAACUGCACAAAUAACAUUGCAGAGUACAAGGCCCUUCUCUUGGGGCUUCGAAAACUUAAGUCAAUGGGAAUAAGAAGGACAAUACUCAAAUCCGACUCACAAGUCAUUUCCGGUCACGUUGACAAGAGUAGUAAAGCAAGGGACCCGAAGCUAGAGAAAUAUCUGGACGCAAUCCGAAUGAUGGAAGCCUCUUUCAAAGGUUUCUCUGUAAAAAACAUCCCAAGAGGAGAAAACGAACAUGCAGAUUUGUUAGCUAAGUCAGCGGCACAAGGGGGCUUCCGUUACCUUCGGAGUUAUUUUUCGAAACAAUAAAAGCACCUUCAAUCGAACUCAUGGAGAGAGCAGUGCUUACAAUCUCGCCAGUACACAGUGAAGAUUGGAGGACUGAGAUUGUAUCUUUCCUCCAAGGUAAUUUCCUUUCGGAUCACGAAGUUUAUAACAAAAGAAUGGAAGCAAGAGCAAGACCCUAUAUAAUCAUAGAGGGAGAGUUUUACAAACAAAGAGUCUGCUUUCCAUUAAUAAAAUGUUUGUCUAGAACCGAAGGUCAAAAACUAAUGAAGGAGAUACAUGCAUGAUUGUGUGGAGUUCAUAUUGGGUCUAGGCCUUUGCUGGGGAAGGUUUUCAGACAAGGAUUUUAUUGGCCGAAGGCAGCUCCGAAUGCAGCAGACUUGGUUCAAAAAUGUGAAAAUUGCCAUACAUGUGCCAAAGACCAGAAACAACCUUCAUCUUUAACCUUACUAAUACAGCCCACUUGACCACUGCAAAGGUGGGCCUAGAUUUGCUAAACCCACUUCCACCAGCAUAAGGUAACUUGAAAUAUGUUGUGGUAGCAGUGGAGUACUUCUCCAAGUGGAUCGAAGCUAAGCCCCUAGCUACAAUAACUUCAGCCACAGUUCAGAAGUUCUUUUGACAGAAUAUUGUUUGUCGCUUCGGUGUGCUGAAAGCUAUCACGUUGAUAACGGAACUCAAUUUGAUGCCGAAACAUUCAAAACCUUUUAUGACCAGAUUGGUACAAAAAAUACACUUUGCAUCAGUGAGACAUUCAGAGGAAAUGGACUGGUAGAAAGAGCAAACAAAAUUAUAAUAACAGGAAUAAUGAAGUCAAUCUUCAAUCAACCCAGAGGAAAGUGGUCAGACAAAUUAAUAAAGGUGGUGUGGAACCACAACACUGUUGUUUAAAGGUCAACAGGUUUUACCCCAUUAAAGCUUAUGUUUGGUGACGAAGCAAUAACACCGGAAGAAGCAAGAAGGGGCUCAAUAAGGACCUUAGCUCCGACAGAAGAUGAAGAGAAUUGCAAAAUAACAAAAGAUACCAUAGAAGAGACCAGGUUCCAAGCAGUAGACCACAUCAAUAAGUAUCAGGAUGAAACAAUCAAAUGGCGUGACCAGAAGGUAAAACUGAAGAAUAUCAAGCCAGAGCACCUAUUGCUUCGGAGGGUAGCCAAUCUUGAUAUAGUGGGAAAGAUUCAGCUUAAGUGGGAAGGUCCCUUCUUGGUAAUAUCUUCGUCAAGGCCUGAAUCGUACAUGUUGAAAGACUUUAUGGUAAUGACAUUCCAAGGUCUUGGAAUGCGGAUGAGCUUCGGAGAUAUUAUGUGUAAACUAUGUAAUUUUUUCAUUCUUUCCGUAUGGCACCAUUUUCCUUUCAAGAGGGGAGAAAGAUUUUUAAUGGGGCCAUAGGUUGUAAUUUUUUUCUUGUGCAAUACAAGGGCCAAAUUCCUCCACAUGUAAAAUGUAAAAUCUGAGACUACACCAUCGAGUGUAAAAAGCUAUGAAGAAGCUCAAAAGUCGUCCCUAAGGGGAUGCAGAGAUAAGAUGCCACCUAAAUAAAAGGUGAAGAAGCUCCAAAGUCGUUUCUAAGGGGAUGUAGAGCUUAACUGCCAGCUAAUUCAAAGGUGAAGAAGCUCCGAAGUCGUUCCUUAGGGGAUGCAGAGCUUAGCUCCAAAGUCGUUCGUACGGGAAUGCAGAGCUAAAAUACCACCUAAGUAAAAGGUGAAGAGACUCCAAAGUCGUUCCUAAGGGGAUGCAGAGUCUGGGUGUGUAUUCGUGUGAGUUUUUUAUCUUCGACAUACAUUUGCACACAUAAUCACAUCAUCUUUUGCAUUCAUACAACCAUACAUUAGGCAUUCGUAGGUUAAUCAUCAUCACAUAAAGCAUGAAGCAUUAACAGGAAAAGUGGGGAUUCUUGCCUUCAAUGAGAAAACGCUUCAUUUUAUACGAAGGUGCUUCGUUUCAAAGGAAACUUCGUUUUAUACGAAGGUGCUUUGUUUCAAAGGAAACUUCGGUGUAUACGAAAGGUGCUUCGAUGUGAACGAAAUGAAGCGAAGGUGUUUUUCGUCUUCGGCUCAAAACCUACAAGUGUCGGUUUCGUCCACAGCAAAGCAGAUGAUAUAUAAGCGAAAGGUAAAUAGUAUUACAAGGCAUUUACAAACAUUUACAAUUCUGCUCUCAUUACAGUUACAAAUAUUACAUUUCUUGUGCUAAAGAAUUUCCAAAGUGUUUUUACAGAAAUCAAGGAAGAUCCUAAGAAGACUACUCUAAAGCUUUAGAUUUAGCUUCGGAUCAGUGGCCUUCGGCAUCAUCACAAUGGAGAAUGACGAGGAACAGGGUAAUCAAGAACCUGGUAAGGAGUCAUGUAAAAAAAAUAAAGGUAAAAGAGCUAUACUUUGUUAAGUAGGUUUCGGGAUUCGUCUCUAGCCAACUCGCGUCCACCCUUAGCGCAAAUUUGAGUGAUGAACAUGUUCCCUAUGCUUCGGCCUUCGGCUAGAACGUCAACCAGAUCCGAUGACGAAAGGCUAAAGUUCGGUCUAUUGACAACCUUUGCGUGAUUACACUCGGCCUUUAUGAAAGCAGUGACUAUACCACGAGAAGCCACCAGCGUACAUAAGUCUCCAUGGCCGGUGAUAACUUCAUCGAGGACAUCGACUUCUUUCUCUACGCAUUCGAGGGUCCCGGGGAUAUCUUCGACAGAGAAGUUAGCUUCUUCAGAUGCAGCUCCAACUGAAUUGAAUAUGAUUUUCAAUCGAGUGGUGCAUUGUCUUGCAAAGUUAAAGCAUCUCUCCUUAAGAGCUCUCAACGCUUCACUGAGCUUCGAAUUCUUCUCAGCCUCAACCUUAAGUUACAUUUUCAAAAUUUUAGAUUCUCAGUUGAAUCGGUUGGAAGUUUCUUCUAAAAGUAUAUGUGCAUCCGCCAGCUCUUAGCUCAAUUUCUUAUUUUGAGCUUGCGCUUCGGGAAGGGAUCCUUCGGCUGAGCGCAGCAACUCAUCCUUUUCUGUUAGAGAAUCCUCAAGUUCCUUGAUUUUAUCCUCUAAACCUUUGACAAUAGCUUCGUUUUUCUAUCCUCAUUAUCUUGGUGCAUUUUUAAAGCUUUGCUCAGUAACAAGCUCUGUAGAAACAAAUUCAAAAUUAAAAUACUUAAGCUAAUACGAACAUAUCAGUGAUAACUUGUAGAAAAGGUUCUUACUUUGAAGUUAGAAUAAAACAGGCUGCCUAUGAUAUGCUGACGCAUGUAGUAGCUGAUGUCCUUCUCAAGCUUCAGGAAUCCAACACUCUUCGACAGGGUGCCUAUAAUUUUCGCACCAGCACGAUCAUGGAUGCAUCCCACGAUUCUUUCGUCAACCCCGCCAAAGAGCACCGACCCCGGUUGUUAACCGCACGAGAUCGCAAAUUCUUUCAACUCUGAUUUGUCCUCAUCAGAGAGUUGUUGGCCACCCAGGUGUCGUAGGUCGAAAUUCGCUCCCUCUAGAGAGGAUUCAUCAAUCUUCUUUCCCUUGUCUGUAAUUGUCGUGACCAUCUCCUUCUCCACAACCACAUCUGAUAUAAGUCUGUCGAUUUCGAACAGAGUGGUUGUAAGGUUUUCACCUUCGGCUGUAGCAGUGGCUUCGACAUCAGUCGGUUUGGCAGCUUUGCUUGCCGAAGCUGGAGGCGGGGUUUGUUCAAUUGCUUGUAGUAUAUUCACAAUGCGUCGUUUCUUCUGGCCCCCGUCUCUCCCUUUAGCAGUCGAAGAUACUUCCUUUUUAUGUAAGAGGCUGGUCAGUUCCAAUCCUAGAGGACUUAGCGGUGUGAAUGGGAAGGACUCAGUCAUUACCUUCAAUAUUUCUGAGACCUCAGCAGCAGAAGACGAAGGGCUUGCAAUUGGUUUCAGGACAUCUUGUGUCUUCGUCUUCUCCGAGGAUUCUACAGCAAGCUUCUGUUUUUAGGAGUCAAUGCCUUCGACACCGACACUGUUUUCAUCUUCUUCAAAGUUUCUUGGUCUUCCUUGAUAGACCGGAUAGCUUGCCUACACAGAAUGCUGACAACCCUUUUUCUUUUCGCUCCCCCGACCCCUUCGUCAAGUCUGUCGUAAUCUAGGUAUUCAAAAUUCAGGGCAUCCAUCACCCGAUUCAACCUUCGUUUCGGCCGGGUGUCGAAUGCAGCAGUCAUUAAUUCAUCUUCUUUCUUUGUAUGAUUUCUGAGGAUUUCAUUGCACAUGGUUUCUAUCAUUUCUAACCAUUCAGAACAUGGUUUUUUGAAUUGCUUUUUAAAUUUGAAACAGUAGGAAGUCGAACAAGUUCAUAUUUUCCCUCCUUCCUUCUUAUUUAGCAUCCCCCAACCGCUAGAGGUUGGAAAAGUUUUGUUUGCCAGAUAUUCCUGCACUAAGUCCCAAGUGCUAAUAUGACCAGCUACCACCCUGAAUUCUACUUCGGGCAGCUGGCAUGGGGAGCCGAGUUGCAUGUUGCAUAAUGGCCUCGUCAUGCCGAAGCUUAAUCUCAGAGGACUCAUUACCAUAGUCAUGAGUUUUUCUCUCUACUCAUCAGCCUUCACGUAGAACCAUUCGCUAGUCCACCUGGUUGGCCAUUUAGUGCGGUAGCCGAUCACCGGGGCAUUGGUGUCCUUCCGGUAUGCAAAAUUAUAGCACCCGAAGUUUUUGUGCAGACCAUCGGCUCUGGCUUUCGUCUGAUAGCGCAGCUCAUGUACUCGGUAGAACCCUUCGGCAUUCGCACUUUUACCCUGGCUUCGGAAAGCCCAUAUGUAGACACUGAGCCUCACAAUGGCAUUCGGUAUCAGCUGAUGAAGAUAUAUUUCAAAUCUUUUCAAAACUUCUCCUAUCAUAUCGUACAGGGAAAACCACAGCCCUGCCCUGAAUAAGCUCCUAAACACAACAACUUCAUCUUCUUUCGGCUCUAGAAUCAAUUCUUCGCCAGCAAAACGAAUAAGUUUACCUUCAUCUCCCCCAAAAUAGCCCACCUUUUUCAUCACAACUAAGUCCUCUUCUGUUACGGUCGAUUUUCCGAAUUCAAUGUGACUAGGUUUUGAUGGGCUUAGAUUGUUGUUGUCCUCCUCACUUUCAUUAUUACUUCCGCCUUCGGCCACUGUCUGCUCAGCUUCGGCAGUAGCACCUUCGACAGUAGUUUCUUCCGACACAACCAGACCUGAUCGUCUCAUCACUUCUGAUAUCGGUGUUGUUUCAGUCACUUCGGCCUAGCAGUGGAUCUUACUCGGGCCAUUUCAGUGUUUAGACUACUUAAGAUGAAGCUAAUUUCAAGUGACGAAGAGCUUGUUCGGAUGCGCAAUCCAGAAAGCUUCGGCUUCAGUUAAAAUUUUUAACAGCACAACAGUGCGAUGGCAAUGAAUGCUAUGGUAACUUCUCACCAACCUGUCUGCUUAUAUAGUGUUGCAGGAGAAGAAGACGAACCGCCAGACCGUCUACACUGGUUGAACGGUGUACCGCAUAGCGCCCGGAAGGUGUUUUUUGGACCUUCGGCAUUCUGAAGCCUUCGUAUUUUUCGUGGACCGAGCUCGUUACGAAAAAACGAUCUAGCAUCGCAAAGGGGCUACUAUUGGGGGUCUUCUUCUCCGCCGAAGGUCCUCAAGACAUAAACACCUUUGGCAAAAUGCCACAAGAGGUCCGCCCCACUUCUGCCGAAGGUUCUCAAGACGAAGACAUCGGGAAGAAGCAACAAUGCAGAAUGUCAAAGCUCAGUAGCUUCGGCUCAGAUCAAGCAAAGAAGGAAAAGACUAGAUAGACCUUAUUAGUUUAAGUUGCUUAUAAACAAAUGUUUAAGGGCAUCGAUGUAAUUUUACCCGGGCUACGUCCCGUGCCUAUAAAUAAAUGAACAGUAACAUCGUACUGUUCAUGCUGGAUUGUAAUUACUUUCUUGCGUCUUCACCUUCGAGCAAGCCGAAGGUAUCAAUGUAAUAUUAAUCCUGCUAAUAUUUAUAUGUACUAUGUGGAAUACAAAUACGAAUGAAUUAAUAAGAUGCAGUUACUGUCUUCAUCCUUUCGUAUUCUUAUUCACAUAUUAAGUGAUGAAGUAUGUUGGGGACUUGUCCUUAAAUGCUAUGAAUUAAGAAUAAGACAACACAAAAAUUGUUAAACGUUAAAGUCCUUCGUCAUUCGAAGCAUUAUUUCCCUUGGGAUAUAAUGAGUUUCGGAUGAAGGUUAUGAAGGACAUACCUUCAUCAGCACAACAAAUAAUGAAGAAGGAUUCAUAUAAAGUAUAAGAAAUAACAUAAAUACUUAAAUAUUAUUAUUAACUUAUUUCUAUUUUAUUAUUAUGGAAAAAUAGAAAUGAUAACAAAUUACAAAUGUACCUUCGGCUUCAAAGAAGGUAAAAGUACAAGCGUGACGCAAAAGCAAAUGCCAAGUCAGCGUGAACAAUACGGGAGCACUAUUCAUCUAUUUAUAGGCACGGGACGCAGCCCAUGUAAAAUUACAUACAUGCCCUUUAUAUUUGCUAAUAACUCUAUAGUAAUCCAUCGGGGUCUAAAUAGCCUUUUCCUCUUUAAGUCGGUUUCCUUUUCUGCUAUUACACCGAAGCUCCCCUGCACAUAGCUUCGGCUCUGCGCCAUCCUUCGUAUUCUUUGUGCUUCUUCACACUGUGGUUUUGACCUAAGUCCGAAAGUACCUGUUCAUGUAUCAUACUCCAGAAACAUUGUUAAAUCAUGUUUUUGAGGACCUUCGGAAGCCGAAGGCCCCCAACAGUAGCCCUCGCAAUAUUAAUUUGUUAGAAUGAUAAAUUCAGAUUGCGAGAUGGACAAAGGCCCUAAGUCGAAGGUCCGAAAAAACACCUUCCCUUUGCUAGAAUAGCAACAGUUAUUGACAAGCGGGGCCCUCCCACUUGCAAUGCACUAGGCGUAUAAAUAAGAGCACACCGCGAGCUCAUUUGGCACGCUUUUUGCCAUCUGCUCUGCCUACUCAAUUUUUAGCUCUUGCGUACAAACGCUUUGCCUGGCUUUUUAGAUUUUUUAGCUUCGGCCUCAAGAGCACAUUUUCAACAUUUUCGAAGAGAUGUCUCAAGAUAAGAAAGCUGUUGUUGAAACGAAGCUGAGCCUUUCUGAGGAGAAGAAUCUUGGCUUUCUUGAAUCAAUAGCGAAGACAAAUACAGAGAAGAUUACUAGAGCGAUUUUAGAAGGCUUAUCUGAAGACACUGGUGAUAGUGACAGUUAUGAUGUGGAAAGUGGUGGCGAAGACUCCGAAGAUCGACCCUGGCGACCAAGUCAUGCAGUUUUCGGUAAAUCAGCUAUUAAACAGAGUCAUCUCGAUAAUAUGAGAGGAAAAUAUUUUCGAGAGAUAUCUCUGGUGAGGGCUGACAAUGGAGAGAAGGCUGCUCCUACUCCCGAAGAGAAUGAAGUUGUGAUCUUCCGAAGCUUUUUCAAAGCUGGGCUUCGGCUCCCCAUAAGCGGAUUUGUGGUUGAAGUUUUAAAGAUAUUUCAGAUUUUUCUUCACCAAAUUACCCCCGAAGCAAUCAUAAGAAUGGGAAUUUUCGUCUGGGUCGUGAGGAGCCAGGGCUUGGAGCCAAAUGCAAAAAGUUUCUGCAGUAUGCACGAACUGUUAUAUGAGACGAAACCCUAGGGCAAAGAGCAGUAUCAUAACAAUUUUGGUUGCUAUAGCUUCGUCGCUCGUUCUGGCUCAAGCUGCCCUGUGCCAACCUUUGGGAAGAGAUGGCCUGGGGACUGGAUGAAGGAAUGGUUCUACGUAAAAAACGAUUUAAAGGCACAAGAAGACAUUAAAUAUAUUAUCAUGCGUCCUAUCUGGCAGCGCUUCGGCCUUCGGAAACCGAAGGUAGAAAUUGAUGAGACAGCCGAAAGAUGCCGAAGGGCCUUCGGCACGGUUUGCUCUUUUAUUGGGACAAGGGACCUGAUCCAGGAGCACAUAGCCUUCAGAAUAUGGCCACUUUUAGAGAAGUGGGAAAUGCCGAAGGAGACUAUCACUAAGACUAGCGAAGGAGAGCUGGUUCGACUGAAAUACAGCUUCAAAUAUGGAGAUAAAUUUGAUGAGCCAAAUGAUGACUGGCUGAAAUGUAUCGAAGCUACAAGUGAUGAACUGCUCGGACCGUACUCCAAAACGGAAGAUAAUGCUUUAUCUGCGGCCUUCGGGAGCCGGAAAAAGAAGAGGCUAAAUAGAGUUUUUGACGCCAUCGAAUUUAUGUAUCCUGACUACCGCUACCCGUCGAAAGGGCAAAAGAGAAAAAGUGCAACUUCUGGGAAAGGUGAUGCUUCAGCUGCUCCAAACGAGCCCGCGCCAAAGAGGAAAAAGGUGAAGGUCCUUACUCACCGACCGUGCUUCAUUGAACCGGCCACAGUGCCCGAAUUUGGUGGUGAGACCUCUUCGGCUAUUGAAGCCAAAGGACCUGCUCUUACACAGAAGAAUGAAGAGCCGGCUAUGAUGCCGAAGGCCGAUAAUAUUAAAGAGAUAGAGGCCGAAAAAACAAAGAUAUUAAAAGUUAUAAGCCCUUCGGCAAGAAUGACAGUGCCGAAGGCACAAAAAGAUCUCACGACGACUCCCAAGAGAAAAAGGAUGGUCAAUGUACUAGAUGUGCUGGAGACAAUAAAGUCUUCAAGCACCGCUCCGAGGAAAACUGUUGAAGCGUCAAAAACGCAAAUUGAGACAAAACCAUCUAAAGCCGAAGCUGCAAAGAGCCAGACCGAGACCAAAGCUGGGCCUUCAGAGCCCGUCAAGGAGAAAUCCUUGGAAACCAGAAAAGAGGAAACGAAAAAAGAAACUGCAGAGCAAAUUCAGUCUGAAAACUACUAUUCCUACUCCCGAAGCAUCUUGCCAAGUUCUUGAUUAUAUUGUACGACAUGCUUCGGGAAAAAGGCUAUCUGAAGAAGAAAAGCGAGAAGCUCAAUACUAUGCCCAGAAACUGAAAUACCCGAAAGGGGCAUUGAUAUUCAACGGCAGCGGAGAAGAAGAUUUCUUGUAUUGUCUCCCAGACAGCAAGGAAAUCUCUGUGUGCCGGGAGAUGGGCAAAAGCUUCAGAUUCCCGACACUAGAAGACGGGCUCUCGGUGCUAUCAAAAGAUGAAUUGGCCGACAGCUUAGCAUACAAUAGCUUAAAGGUGAGAAAAUGAGAUUUUUGUACUUAAAAACAAAAUUUUUCCAUUUACUUAUACUUAAUACCGCACUCCUUUUGUAGGGCCUUAUUCUCAGCAACGCCCUCAGGGCGCAAAAAAGUGCUGAAGACGAAGGAUGUACUAUAGCUUUGAACAACCUUCGUUCCGAAGUAAUUGAGCUAAGGAACGAAAGUCUUGAAAAAGAUAAAAUAUUAAACUCAUUAGUGAAUAAAAUAAAAUAAAACGAAGCUACUUCCCAAGCCCGAGCUGAAGCCCAAAAAUGCGAAAUUGAGGAUCUUCGGAAAUAGAUGGCAGAAGCGAAAUUAAAAUGUGCUAUCGCCGAAGCUGACCGAGACGCCAGCGAUUACUGGAAAAACUAUUGGGAGAAAACGGUUGUAGAACUUCGCUCUUCAAGAGAAAAAUGUUAUAAAAAAUCCAUAGAAUGUGUGGGAAAAAUAAAAACUAGCUUCGCCAAUGUUGGCGCAUACUACAGCGAGGACAAUUUCGUGAGAGGCGAUCCUGAGGGCCCAAUUGAUUGGAUCAACAACGAAACCGAAGCUUUUGAGGAAAUUUUGAGCGGUCCUGGGGAUGUUUGCGCGUUCUCAGGUGCCAGAGGAAUUGCGGCUAUUUUGGAGAAGUCAGGUUGCGAGCAUGUGAAAGCUUUGGCCCAAGCCGAAGCUACUUUAUCUAUUGAUGACACGAAGGACCCCUCGGCUGAAGCGAGCUUAGUUGGUGGAAAGUUUUUCACCGACGUCUAGGAAAAUGGCGGCCUAGGGAUGGCCCACGAAAUUAUAAAGAAAAAUGAAAAAGAUACUCACGAUGCUAGAGAAGCAACAAAGGCAGCUAAAAAGACUGCAGAACUCGAAAGGCGGAUAGGUAUUGCCUAAUUGCUUUUAUGUUUUAUUUUUGUGACUUCGGACUUAUUUAUGUUUUAUAUCGCAGUCGAACUAUCUCCUUCUCCGGAGCCCUUCGAGUCAUUGGCCGACCCCGAAGCAAAAAAGGAAGAUGAGAUUACUAAGAUGGCCGAAGCUAUUAUGGACGAAGCUGUUACUCGACUACUAAACGAAGCUGCGGAAGCAGUUUUAAAAGAAGAAUAGCUAUUAUUGUAAAAAUAUUUGGAAUAUUAAUGUAAUAUUUGCUGAACAAAGUGUGUAAUAUUUUGUAGUUUUGAAUGUAAUAUAUAAGCUGUUUGUAAUUCAAUUCUUUACGAUGCAUGAAACUUUAUGUAAAUACCGUUUUUGAGCCUUCGGCGAAAAAAACACCUUCCCUUCUUUUCAUGCUUCGUGAAGAAUAUCCAUAUUCCGUAAAAACAUUAUCACUACAACAAAUGUGACCUUCUGUGAUGAAUAUGCUAUGACACGAGUGAGAAUCAUCAUUAAAUCGCUUUAUUUAUGACGAUUUCUAUGAGACAUCUAAGUUUAAUGACAAAUAAAUAACCAUUGUCAUUAAAACUGUCAUAACCCAUUUUAAGAUGCUUUUUGUGACGAUGAUCUAUGACAAUAUGAGUUUGUCAUAAGAAUAAAUUGCCGUAGCUUCUUGUACACCAUAAUUGUGACAAUUGUAUGAAAGCUCAUUCGUCGUAAUAGUCAUUCAUACACAUAAACUACCUUUAGUUACUAAAAAACACUUAAUAACUAACUGCUCUCGUCAGUUGCGUCAUUAUACUACUAGGCCUUUGGCUUGCAUUCUUUACAAAAAGAUAAUAGAAUGUGUGGAAGAGGAAAAAAUCAUUUGGCUUGCAUUUUUUAGUCGCCCAAAAAAAUUGCAGCCUUUCCACCAAAAAUGGUAACGGCAGCAACCCCCCACGCAAGUUUAUGAGAUCCGGUAAAUCCUCCACCCAUCGUCAGUGCCAAAUCAGUUCCCUUCCGUGCCUAAUUCACCUUCCCAUCCUUGGCACUAGCGGCUUCGUAGCCUCCAAUCCUUCAGCCUCUCCAUCUGAUUUGGCGCAGAUGCCUCCAGGGAGGAAGGGGCAACGAUGCACAAGGGAAACCCCAGGUAAAUUCCAAUCACUCUCAGAUUCGAUAACUCCAAGUCUCGUCCCUUUUCUAUCUCCUUGACAAAGACUCUGCCUGUAGCGAGCUAUCAAAGGGCCGACUUCUCCAUGUCUUCCAUAUCUGGCUAAUCUGCCAUUCAAGCAGUCAUGUGCAAAGGUUGUAUUGGAUAGUUUAUUUGUAGCGUGUGCUUUAUGGUACUCCAAUAAGAGACAUGUACUUCUGAAUUGUCUUAGGAAUGCAAGAUUGUCAUUUAUUAUAAGAUUGAUGCAAUAGUUUCAGGGUACAAACGAAUAUGAACAAUGCAGUUUCUGAAUUGUUUGUAGCACACUGAGACUGAUAUGAGGCAGAUUGUAGGGUAUUUCCAAGUCUAUUGCAAAAGGGAAUGACGAAUGGCCUGAAGCCUCAUAUAGGAAAGUGAUCACUACUAAACUUAAGCCAAAAACAUAAGUCUCUGGUCUCACUUUAGCUAACAAUAAUAGAAUAUAACCAAUGAUGAAAUUCGUAUCACUAAUAAAUCAAAAAAGCAAGGUGAGUAGAAUAUAAAACUAGAUGACACGCUUACAGAUUUUUAUAUUUGCAGUAUUCAUAUGUACAUUACACCAUUUGGAGAGGGCAAAGUCUACCUUACAUAUUUGCAGCCCUAAAACUACAACUGAUGGCAUGCUUUGAGUUUGUAGUAAUUCUUUGUACAUUACACCAUUUGAUUAUUCAUCAGAGCCUCAGUUUUCAUCAUCCUUUACUCCUUCAGCAUUUGUAGUUUUUAUGAUCUGUUUGGUAUGAUGGGAUCGCUGGGUAUAAAAUGACAUGUAUUAAUUGAUUUGAAUUAUCACAUAAUGUUUGGAAGUCUACCUGAGAUUCUCUUACACUUGAUCGGCUAGCAAUGGGCAUAAUUUUCAAUUUUUCAUUAGUGGUAUAAAGUUUUCUAAAACCAAGGUUGGCUGAACAGAAUGGAAGAAAAUAUCCAUGAUUAGAAAAAAAAAAGACAACAAAUAACCGGCCAUGCUCACUUGUUUUCUAUUGAACUUUUACAAUUAGUAGAGUACGCAUAACAUAAUUCAAAUUGGUGUAAUACUCAUCAUAUCCAUACAGAUAUGAGAUGCCCAUAUGACAAACAUAAUGAAAUGGAAUUGAUUCAAACAUUUUGGUAGACACAAAACUUAGCUGCAUCGGAAGCUCUGCAUUAGAAGCUCUGAUUAGACACAAAACUUAGCUGCAUCGGCAGCAAAAUCAUUGCUAUUUAAUAGGUGCAUCAGAAGCUAUUUAAUACCUAUCUUCUUCACCUAACCUCUCUUCCUCACCCUCCCUCAUAGCAGUUGGCUGUCGUGAUCCGGUGACCUCCCCACGAAAUUCCGAAGGUAAUUUUGUUUAGUUGCUCCUCUCUGUUUGUCACUUCGUGAAGCAGUGGGAUCUAGGUUAGGGAAGCUUUUUCUCCUUCAUGUCCAUGGCGGCUCACGAGCUCUGUCCCCAACCUUCCCGCCACCCAUGCCUCCACCAUCUGUCGCCUCCUCUUCUUUGUCGUCUGACUCGUCCUCAACAUCGCAGCGCCACCUCCUUUGCAUUCACUGUCUCCACUAGCAGCUUCCACCAUCCCCUACCACAACCUCUGCCUACUAUUGCCUUCCACUGUGUCCGCGUGAAUGACUCGCUCUGAGCCUUCAGCGGCCUCGCUCGAAAAAUUCUCCGCCGGCGACAGUGAGAAGGUGCUCGCUGUCGUCGGCGUACACACGGCGACUUCUCCGCGCUACUUGCUUCCUGCCCAACCCCGAACCUCCAUAAGCUUUGGAUCUAGGUAGAUUCAUGAUGUAGAUUGCGGCUGCUCAUGUCACGUAUAUACUAGAAACUUCUAGCUAUUUUAGUAUCUAGCUGCUUGCCUACUACCAUGGUGUGAUCGGAUAAGAUGUUGCUUGUGUGUCUACCGUUCCCUGCAUUUCCUGCUAAUAUGGUGCUUGUAGCUUUAGAUCUCUUGGCUAUAUGCGCCAAUUGCAAAUGCUCACUAUUUUAGAAUACAGUUUUUCAAUUGGGCAUAGCUAGGUCGAUUUUAUUCAUUGUCAAACCAGACAGGAUGUUUUUUUAACAUUGGGUGGUGUUAAUCAAAGUUUAGGAGUUUAUAACAUUGGGUGGAGAACUUUAUCCUUCUAUAUAUAACGUUUUGGACCAACCAAGAAAUUGACACAAGAUAUCAAGUGUUGAAUAUAAUUGAUGCAUUACAUUAUCUUCUUUAUUGUGUUCGAUACCUUUUUCAUUUAUUAAUUUACAUUUUAAAUGUACAGAAGACCCUCGUACCGAAUACGAGAAAAUGAGGGAUGUGAAUAUAAUGAAGAACAAUCAAUUACUUUUGGGUUCGCAAAUAAUUUGAUAUGAAUAUGCUUAUUGUGUUGUACAUAUAUUUAGGAAUUCCAAGCUCGUAAGAGUGUCAUUACCCACAUCUCCAAUGAUGGUGAAUAGAUGUCAACAAAAGUAACAAGAGGAAAUAAAAGAAUUAUGGCACCUGUCUAUUUAUAGCUUCAUGAUUUUUUGCUUGUUAGUCUGUGUUGCUUUGUUUGAUCAACCACUCUUGUUACAUACAAUCCUCUUGGUGUUUCUCAAAGAAAGCUACUAAGUAUCUAGGUGGUAUUCACAUUUGUAGCAGUGUGGCAUGAUCUAGAAUGGUGUCUUCUGCAUAACCCUAUAUCUGACAUGAUUGCUUACUUUGUUGCAACAUCAUAUGUUUGUUUUUUCUUACUUCAGCUACUUAUUCUAAGUCUAUAUUAUUUUUACAUGCUUAUUUGAUACACAGGAAAGUUGUGUGAAGAACAAACUUAAUCGUGAAAAAGUACUGUAUCAACAAUGCACAGGCUCUCAAUCCUACAUUGCAAAGGUUAUUAUAUUGGUAAGAAAAUAACCAUUGUUUUCUUAUCUGCAUAGUUGAAUGAUACGUGAAUGUGUAAUAUUGCCAAUAGAGUCAGUUUAUCAUCUCUGGUACCUCAUAUAGUUGCCCCUGGUUGUUUCAUUUGUGUUCACUUACAUUUGUUGAUUAUGCAACAACCUUUAUUUUAUGUGCAUAGUUGAAUAAUCUAUGAAUGUGUAAUGCUACAAAUGAACACCCAUAACCAUUUAAAGAGGUGGUUAUUACGUGUGCUUGCCUCCAUUAAUCAGAGAUCAUGUCUCCUAAAUCAUUUUUAUUGUAGUGUUAAUAGUUGACUAACAGUUCAUCCAACAAACUAUAAUGUUUUAGGUUGUAGCUACGUUACCUACAAGUAUCCUGAUCCUCCUUAUUUGAGCAUUGUGCAGCAGCUCCUCAUGCUCUUUCUCUAAAAAGUCCAUUUACAUAUACAUCAAGUACUGAAUAGACAGAACAAUAAUAACAGAGAAUGUAUAGCUUGUUGUUUUUCUAUUUAUGUAUUCGACUCUAACAUCUAUGUUUCUGUAAUCGACUCUAACAUCUCUCUAGCAUUUAAAUAUGUGUAUACCUUGCUAAAGCAUUUAGAUAUGCAGUAAUCGACUCUAACAUCUCUGUUUCUGUUUAUGUAUACCAAAGCACAAAUUAACAUCUAUGUUUGCUCAUAUAGCUGUUCCUGACUGCUUCAUUUACUGUUUUAUUUAAAUGCUUUAGCACUGUUCAUAUCUAAAAUGCAUUUUAAAUUGUUAUUUUGAAAUCCUAUUGUAUCUUAUUUCAAGACCUCCAUUCUCACUGGACUCAUUUUAUAUCAUUUCAGAAGCAAGAAAAAUAUAAGGAUGCGGAACCUAAUGCAAUAGAUCUUUUCAAGGAGAUGCAUUGCUGCAAGAAGAAAUGUUUUAGUGAAAAUGUUCAAAAAGAUAUUGUAAGUGCUUGUUUUCCUUUCAUGUUUGUACUCACAACUUGCAACUUGUGGUAUACUGUACUGAUGAAUAACCUUUAAAAUUUAUAUUAGGUUCACAUGGAAGAAAUGGUAGCAGCGCCAUUUCAGGAUGGACAACAACCAACAUCUCCUACAGAAGUUGUUUCUAAUGUGCUAUCGGGCUCCAGUGUGUUUUUACGCAAUGUUGGUCUUCAAUUCGCCUCCAAGAAAAGCUCCACGACGAUUGUUUCUGCAAUGGCUCAACAACUUCAGGAUGAACUGGAGAUCGAGAAGCAAGAAAAAGAUGGCUUUCAGGAAGAAGUGGAAACCUUGAAGGCUUAAGCACAAUCAUCUCAGGAGACCAUUGAUAGUAUGAAGAGGUCGAUGGAAGAAAAUAACAACCUCCUUCGUCAACUAUUAAGCUUCAAUCAAGGCCAAGUGCCUCCAUCUUAAGUCUAGUUGACCACUAUAGGACCUGCAGCCUUAUGGCUGUUAUAGUGGCUAGUUACAGCUCUAGAUUUAAAGUUAUAGGAUCAUUUUAAAUUAUGCUUAAUGUUUAAUACUUUGAGUUGAAGUUAUUGGAUUUGUUUUGGAUUUUAAGUUAAAGGAUUUGCAGAUAUAUGUUUUAAAGUUAUAUUAUUCUCUGCUAGAUGAAAUAUUUGUGUUGAACAAAUUCAUAUGAUAUUUUGGUUGUGAUGUGUAAUAUUCUAUGAUGAUAUGAAUGCAUAUGAUGUGUUCCUUGCGAUGACGAUUGUAUCUGUCACAAAUGGUUCGCCACAUCACUGACCAUGUCAUCACAUUUUAUGACGAAUUUUUUUCACAAAUGCAUUGUCACGUAAGCGGCCAACGCCUUCUAAUUUGUGAUGAAAUUCUUCGUCACAAUAAUUUUGGCACGUCAUCUGCCACGUGACUUGCCAUGUCAUCGAAUCUAUGACAAAUAUUUUCGUCAUAAAGGUUUUGCCACGUCACAUACUACGUCAUCACCAUUAGCCACGUGGCAAUGCAUGUCAAUACGAAUUGUGACGUUUUCAAGGGCACUUAUGACGAAAUAGAGUGUCAUAGAUUUAGUGACGAAGCUGGUAUGCGUCAUAGAAUCUAUGACGAUUUUUUGAUCAUCGUCAUAGUAGGCUAUUUAACACGCACCUUCUGUGACGGUGGCAUUUUCAUCACAAAGACGUCACCAAAACAUAACCUGUGACAAAUAAAUACUAGUUAGUGACAUAAUAAUUAUGUCACAGAAGGCCUAAAAGGUUGUAGUGAUAUGCUUCGUACGCAAUAGAUCUCCUUUGAUAUUAGAGUUGAUGAAGCUGUACUUCUUCAAAACUUAUUUUGUGCCUUGGCACAACUUCUUCGAAACAAUUUCCGAGGAUCAACAUUGUAUCCCCUUCUUGUGCCAUUGAUGCAAUAUGAUGUAUGAUGUCAUGUUAUGUGAAUGAUGUGAUGAUGUUAUGCUAUACAAAAUGAUAUUUGUGCCGAAGAUAUACACACAUUCCCACAGUAGAACACACAAUCUCUUUGCCGUUUAUUUUUCGGCUUCACCGCUUAUUUUUCGGUGUAUCGGCGUUGACUUUUCGCUGUAAGUUCUGCAUUCCCUUAGGAACGUCUUUUGAACUUCUUCGCCUUCUAUUUCGGCGGUAUUCGCGUUGACUUUUCGCGCUUUGCCUUAUAUUUCGACGGAAUCAACGUUGACUUUUCGCUGUAAGCUCUGCAUUCCCUUUGGAACGACUUUUGAGCAGAAAACUUAUGUUGCGCUCCCUUAGGAACGACUUUUCGUUGCUUCGGUAAAACUUACGCUGCGUUCCUUAGAACGACUUUUGUUGCUUCGGUAAAACUUACGUUGCGUUCCUUAGAACGACUUUUGUUACUUCGAUAAAACUUACGAUGCGUUCCUUAGAACGACUUUUGAGCUUCACCGACUUUUUGAACUUCAUGAGUCUGUGAAGAAGGUAUAUUAUGCUAUGACAAUAACGAAGCUAUUAAAAUAAAUUGAAAACAACAAAAGAACUAGGCUUUCAAUGAUUGUUCCUUAUUAAAAAAGAAAAUGAUGACGAAUGCAAAAACUGUUUUAGAGGUAGGAUAUCUCUUAGUAGAUGUGCUUCGAUUCUGGCACAGUACUAUUGACUGUGCGAGCUUCGGACUGCUCCCUGAAGUCUUGCUGGUGGUGAGUAUGCUGGCUCCCUUCUGGCUACUGGCCUUGGGAAUAUGCGGGUUGCAUUGGUGGUGGAGGUGGAGGCUGUUGCCAAGAUGCCUGAGGUUGGCUUGCCGAAGCAACAGAAGCUGCAGAAUGGUUACCCACAUACUCUGGUAUGUACGGUGAAUGAUACGAAGCAGUAUGCAUAACUUGCUUCGGCUGGUUCUGUUGUGCUGCAGCUUCUGCUAUCUCCUUCUGUUUCUGGAUGGUGACAUGGCACAUCCUUGUAGUAUGGCCCUUGUCCUCACCGCAGAAUAGACAAUAAAUCUUCCUGGGCUGAUCCCCAAACAUUCCUCUGAAGCCCCUGGCGCCUCUGCCCCUUGGAGCUGGCGGCCGAAGGUAGCUUUGUUGCUGCCCCGAAGCCUGCGAGGAAUACUGUGGCCUCUGUUGCUGGCUUGCUCUGUCGUCAUUCUGGGUGGAGUGAAUUGAUCUGACAUGCCUUGGAUGAAUCCUUCCUCCGAAGCCCCUGGUCAUCUUGGAGAAUCUGUAGGCUUCCUCCCUUCUUUGACGAAAGUCAUUAUCAACGCGGAUGUAUUCAUCCAUCUUCUGAAGCAAUUUCUCCAGGGUCUGAGGGGGCUUCCUGGCGAAGUAUUGGGCCGUAGGUCCUGGCCGAAGCCCCUUAAUCAUGGCCUCAAUGACAAUUUCAUUGGGCACUGUUGGCGCUUGUGCCCUCAGACGCAAGAAUCUUCGGACAUACGCCUAAAGGUAUUCUUCGUGAUCUUAAAUGCACUGGAACAAAGCUUGAGCAGUAACCGGCUUCGUCUGAAACCCUUGGAAACUGGUGAUCAUGUCCUUCAGCUUCUGCCAUGGUGUGAUUGUUCCUGGCCGAAGAGAGGAAUACCAGGUUUGUGCAACAUUCUUGACUGUCAUGACGAAAGACUUCGCCAUGACUGCAGUAUUGCCUCCAUAUGAAGAUAUGGUAGCUUCGUAGCUCAUUAGAAACUGCUUCAGAUCUGAGUGUCCGUCAUACAUGGGGAGUUGGGGUGGCUUGUAAGACAGGGGCCAAGGUGUAGCCUGCAGUUCUGCUGACAGAGGAGAAGCAUCAUCAAAACCAAAAUUUCCAUGAUAGAAAUCCUCAUACCAAUCAUCCUCAUUGAAGAAGCCCUCUUGGUGAAGAUCUCUGUGUUGGGGCCUUCGGUUUUGCUCAUCUUGAGCAAGAUGACGUACUUCUUCAGUGGCUUCGUCAAUCUGCCUUUGUAGGUCAGCUAGCCGAGCCAUUUUUUCCUUCUUCUUUUGCACUUGCUGAUGAAGCAUCUCCAUAUUCCUGAUCUCUUGGUCCAACUCAUCCUCUUGGAGUGUUGGACUGGUGGCCUUCCUCUUCUGGCUUCGGGGCUCUCGAAGAGAAAGGGUCUCCUGGUUCGGGUCCAGCGGCUGCAGAAUGGCAGCCCCUGCCGCUGAAGCUUUCUUUGGUGGCAUGACGAAGGUCGAUGCUUGCCGAAGGUGGUCGAAAAGGGUUCACCGGAGGUGGACGCCAAUGUUGGGGACUUGUCCUUAAAUACUAUGAAUUAAGAACAAGGCAACACAAAAAUUGUUAAAUGUUAAAGUCCUUCGUCCUUCGAAGCAUUAUUUCCCUUGGGAUAUAAUGAGUUUCGGACGAAGGUUAUGAAGGACAUACCUUCAUCAGCACAACAAAUAAUGAAGAAGGAUUCAUAUAAAGUAUAAGAAAUAACAUAAAUACUUAAAUAUUAUUAUUAACUUAUUUCUAUUUUAUUAUUAUGGAAAAAUAGAAAUGAUAACAAAUUACAAAUGUACCUUCGGCUUCAAAGAAGGUAAAAGUACAAGCGUGACGCAAAAGCAAAUGCCAAGUCAGCGUGAACAGUACGGGAGCACUGUUCAUCUAUUUAUAGGCACGGGACGCAGCCCAUGUAAAAUUACACCCAUGCCCUUUACAUUUACUAAUAACUCUAUAGUAAUCCAUCGGGGUCUAAAUAGCCUUUUCCCCUUUAAGUCGGUUUCCUUUUCUGCUAUUACACCGAAGCUCCCCUGCAUAUAGCUUCGGCUCUGCGCCAUCCUUCAUAUUCUUUGUGCUUCUUCACACUGUGGUUUUGACCUAAGUCCGAAAGUACCUGUUCAUGUAUCAUACUCCAAAAACAUUGUUAAAUCAUGUUUUUGAGGACCUUCGGAAGUCGAAGGCCCCCAACAAAGUAUGUCCUUCUUGACCUUUGUCUGAUGAGCAUUAUACCCAUGUGGAGAUAAUGUUUUGGAAGACGAAGGUCCUUAAUCUUUAACAAUUGUGUUGUCUUGUUUUUGAUUCACAACAUUUGAGAACAAGUGACCAACAACUUGCCUUUUACUAUAAAUCUUCUCAUCCCACGAAUUGGUGACACCUUGAGUUACACAUGGUCACCCUCUUCAAACUCUAGUGGUCUUUUUCGAUUAUCAGCAUAGCACUUCUUCCGGGUCUGUGCUACCCUCAAGUUCUCUAGGAUCAUACGGACUUGUUCCUCUGCCUCUUGUAUAAUUUCAGGCCCAAAGAACUGCCUUUCACCAGUCUAAUCCCAAUACAGAGGAGUUCUGCAUUUUCUGCCAUAUAAAGUCUCAAAUGGUGACAUCUUCAAACUGGCAUGGUAGCUAUUAUUAUAAGAGAACUCAGCAUUGAUAGACUCUUGUCCCAACUACCUCCAUGCUUAAGGGCACAAGCUCUUAACAUAUCCUCAAGUACUUGGUUAGUUCUCUCAAUCUGGCCAUCAGUUUGAGGAUGAUAGGCCGAACUGAAGUUCAACUUCGUAUCCAUGUUCUCAUGAUGGCUCUAAGUUCACCUCCUGGUGAUCGAAUUAAUAGUUUCUUCUUCAAGGAAUAGUUUGGUAUAUUAUGUUUUCCACAAAUGACUUUGUUACGAAGGAGUGAGAUGCUCCAAAUCAAAUAAAACUGAUGCAGGUAUGGAGUUAAUAAGAAACAUAUCAUACACGACGUCGGCAUCCUCAGGAACUGAUUCUGUUGUCACAUGAUUAACCCUUUCCCUACUUUGAUUCUACGGAGUCUUGUUCUGUGCAGAUCCACGAGCAGGUGUGUUCUGAUCAGUCUUCUGGUUUCUAUUCUUCUGGGGUGUCUGUUGAUUACGCCUUGGGAAGUUGUUAGCAUAGUGGCCAAGUUCGCUACACUUGAAACAACCAUUCAGUUGGACUAGGGUAGUUGUUUUGUUGUUCUUGGUCGGUGUGUUCACAACGCUUCCUUGACGAUUCUGCUGUUGACCACUAGACCUUUGACCGGUCUGAGUGUUGUUUCUCUGUUGGUUCUGAUAUUGGUUGCUCCUCUGACCUUGUUGUCCACAACGCUGUACUUGGUAGUUGCUGUUCCCACUCUAAUUUCUGGAGCGGAACUAGGAACCCUGGGAGUUGUUCUGACGGGUAUUCCUACUGGUCUACCCUUGGUACUUUCUCUUGUGAUCCGACAACUCUUUCCUUUUGCUUUCAAGGCCAAUUGCCUUGUUAAGCAAAGUCUGGAAGUUGGGAAAGUUGUGGCUCUGUAACUUGUAGUUCAAAUGCCCAAUCAAGCCUUCCAAGAAACGUUCUUUGCGCUUCUCGUCAGUGUCCACUUCUUCUAGGGCGUAACGUGAAAGCUGGGUGAAGCGAUCACGAUACUCACUAACAGACAUGUUCCCUUGUGUGAGGGAAAGGAACUCCUUCUUGAGCUUCAUGAUUUCCGGGGGAAUAUGGUGAGCACGGAAGUUCACUUGGAAUUCCUGCCAGGUUAUGGCAUCAGCAUUAGCAUGUGUCGCGGUGAAGACAUCACACCAAUCGGACGCGGCACCUUCGAGUCUUCCUGAAGCAUACAAGACCUUUUCUCGGUCAUUGCACUAGGUGAUGUCCAGUUUCUUCCUGAUGACCUUAAACCAGUCAUCAGCAUCCAAAGGGUCUACUGCAUGCGAGAAAGCAGGCGGGUGAUGGCUCAUGAAAUCCCAAUGCUUAUCUCUAGUUUGUGGUGCUUGUUGUUGUUGAUGCUGGUGCUGCUGAUUCUGUUGAUUCUGUUGUAUCUGCUGCACCGAAGCAGUGAGUCCUUGCAGAAGCUGCAUCUGCGCUGCGAGGAAUUGCUCCAUAUUGGGGUUGGGUGGCGGUGGUGGCAACUGCUGACCACGCUGGUUCUGGUGGUUAUUGGGACCUGAGAGAGUGUUCACCAUCUGUUUGGUUAGAAAGUGCAAUUCCGAGGUAAGUGAGGAGUAGAGAAGAUUCUAGGGGGAAUAUCUCAUUAUUAAGUUUGAGUUUAUUAUAUAUGUUCUUAUGGCCAUCAUUCCAUAAGACCAUUGCACUCAAGCAAAAAUCGAACUCAAACAUUUCAAAUAACACCAUCACAUGGUUGUUAUUAUUAUAAGCAUAAUAUUAUAAAGAUGUUCAUCGUCUAACGCGAAAUAUAACUUAUUACAAUAUAAAUGAAAAUUUAUAGCAGCCUGGUGAUAGAUCCUGGUUCUCCAUAGCGGAUCCUCUUGCGGGGAGGGGAUAACGUCAUGGUAGAGACUUGAACUUUAGGGGGAUUCCUUCCAUCAAGCUGAGCUUCCAGGGCUGUGAUCCUUGCGUGUGCAUCCUCCAGCUCCAAGUGUACCCUAGAGAGGUCCAGGGUAGCACUAUCCAGGUCGGUGUUAAGACCUGCCACCACACCAGCUAGGGUGUUGAGGCGAUCUUCUCCAGCUCCACCUGGAACAAUGUUGGUUUGGCUUUUUCCACGAAUACACAGAGAAAUAUGCCUGUACUUCGUGUUGUGCAGCUGCUGCCAGUAGGUGUGGCUGAGGGACCACAGAGUUCGCCUAGCAGCAUCGUUGUCCGAAGCAGCGUAGGUGGAUAGCGGUGUCAGAGACUCAUGAACUGAUAGAGUCCUGAAGUCUCUAUCACCUGCAUCCAUCACCCUGACAUGAAUGCGAGUGAUGUAGUAGCAAGCCUGAGGAGGAUCGUACACUCGCCUUGUCUCAUACAGGGGUCGGACGUAGGUUCCCAACGCAUGCAGAACAUCCUGCAACAGGUUAGGAAGUGCCCUGUCUCGAACAUCGAUGUAUAAUGUUCAGUGACAGGCCAUAACCUCAUGUAAUGGUCCUGUUGUUCAUCGUUGGCUUCUUCGUUGACGUUCUCCGCUUCUUCUUCUUCGUCGUCUUCAUCAUCGUCACCAGAGUCGUCCGGGUCGUUGCCUCUGGGAGCAGGGGCUUGGACUGCUGGUGCAGGCGGUGCUAAAGCUGACGAUCCAGUUGCGAAGGCUAGUGAUUGUGCCAACGGGGUAGGCGUAGGCAAAAACUCCUCUGAGUUGUCUUCCAGAAUAACUCUAUUCUCCACACAAAUGCGAGGGAGAUCCACAGGGAUUUCCUUGACUACCACCAGUUAGACGGGAACUUGCUGUGGCGGAGGGAUGUAGUUGGUGUUGGUCCGGGUGGUUUGGAUUGUACGAACCAUCUACAAGAGAAAAUGUCAACUUAGUUGAAUUUUAAAGAGGUAAGGUUAAUAAAAUAAUUUUGUAAGAACAAAAUUAUGAUGUUUUGAACAGACUAGGUUUUCAAUUUCUAACUAGUCUAAGGAUCUAGAGUCAGCAUAGCUUUGAUACCACUUAUGUCACACCCGGUUCUGGGGGCAAAACCGAAUGCAUAGCAUAUGUGGCCAGGAUCCAUUUUUCCAUACAUAUGUUGAUGUCACAAGUGUAAUAUGUCAAAAGACAAUGCAAUAAAGGCGAAAAGAGAGUAGAGUAACUUUAUUGCAUCAUCUGGAUCAUAGUAUCUUAAACAAGUUUCAUAAUCAAAUACGGCGGAAUUAAACAUGGACACUCUUCCACAGGAAGGUGACUAGCGCAUCGUUAGACUCAAAAUUCAUCAACGUCAUCUGCGAAGUCUUCGUCAUCACCCUCUGAUCAAAAUAUUAGCAAGGGUGAGCUCACUUAUGGUCGGGGCUCAGCAAGUGGGGGAAAUAACACAAGUUAACAAGGUAGGUUAUGGAUAAAUGGUAAACAUUUUAGUUGGUCAAUAUUUUAUUAGCAACACAUGUCUUACUAAUAAGUGUGUAUCCCAAAUUUCCCAAUUAAUCAAAGGCAUAAGAUUAUAUCAACAACACUUAAAUGAAAUCACUUAAGCAAACCACUGGUAGAUACUCAUAUCACGAUUUAUUUUCCAUCUUUAAGUUCAAUUAUCAUGUGAGGGUCCAGGUUGCUCUUAACCGUGAGCACGACUGACAUAUCAGUUUUACACUCUGUAGAGGUGGUACAACUUUACUCAUAAGCUGUGUAUCCCAUCUAGCCUGGGUUGAUCGGACCCAUAAACACUGCCGAGGUGAAUGGCUAGGGAUCCACUAUGAGGCUUUCACAAAACAUCCUUAGUACAAAGCCACCCGCUAAGGUUUCCACGUCAGUACUGAUGGCCCUCUGGGUGAGGUAUCUUAGCCAAGACUACCACCCCAUGUUAACAUGAGCUGUCACCAAACCAAUGCCGCACCUCUUGCCCAUCUUUCAGGUAGGGUUGCUAAGCACUAAGUCUAUAGAGCUAAUUACCAAAGCCAGAGCCAUUAUAGCACUCGUGGUUGCACUGUUAUCCUGGGUGGUCACUCCAUGUUCCAUUUAAUACAAAAUGUUCUUGUUUAACCAUCGGGUUAACAUCAUAAAUAAAUCUUCAUUUCUGGAACAUAGUAUCAUUAAAAGAGUGACAACAUAUUCAUCAAGUUGAGCAAUAGCAAAAAUUGUUAAGCACAACAUUUAUCCCAGGGUAAUUCAAGGAAUAGGGUUCAUAAUUCUAGGAAAUCCUUAUUUAGGCAAAUCCCAUCAAAUUAUGCAAUAUCCGAAAAGUAAACAUUAUUAUAUGCAUUAUUUAGGUAUAAACAGAAAUGCAGAGGUAGAAUCCACUUGCCUUACUCGAAAGUGUCAUGUGGGUUGUCCUCGAACGUGUUUGGUUCGUCUACCUCACAGUCAACUUCUAGCAUCGAUUUACGUAUCGUACAUACAAAAGAAUACGUACGCCAAAUAAAUAAACAUACAUUAUUAAAUGGGUAAUUAUUCAUCAUUACAUACACAUUCAUAUAUCACACAAUUAUACUCAUAGAUAUGUUUAAGGCAUAAAUAUUUAUUAAUCCACUAUAUCUUCCACUUUGAGUUAUCAUUGGUGAAAAUAUGAGUAGGUGACUACGACGCUAGUUUAUCUAGUACAAUAUAGAUAAAAUGUCUUAACAAACUUUACGUUUCUUUAUUACUUAAUAACAGUCCCUUGGGUUUUAUCCUUUCCUUUCUAAAUAGAAAUUAUACAUAUGGCUAAAAUGGUUAUUUAUAUAUUACAUAACAUUAAUAUUCCAAGGAUUAAUGUAAAUUACUAAUUUUGGACUUUAAUACCAUAAUCAUAGUUAUUUUGACAUAAAUAGAUAUUUUACUAAUUCUAAGUGAUUAAGUGAUAUGCAUACAAAUACUUAUAUCCUGAUUAGUGAAAAUAUAUAUUUUAACCUAACCGAUAAUAUGUGACCUAUUACUUCUUCCAUUUUCAUAUAUCAAUAAAAUUAUACUUAAAUCACUACUAACAAUAUUGUUCCAUGUGCUAAAGUGAAGUUAGCCGUAAACAUUUCUAGUAUGUAAAUCACCAAGUUAGUGAAUCGUGGCAUUAUUCAUUUUCAAAAUAUAAAAUAAUACUUAUGUCCAAAAUAUUGUUGCAGGGGCAGGUUCACAAUUAAGUGUAUACAUCGGGGUCUCUUUUUAAUAGUUUUUGAACUGAGAAAUAUCUGAACUAAAUGUACACAAAACCAGGGGUUAAAACGUAAAAUAAUCAUCUUCUACCUUGGGCUCGGUCUCGUGAUUGCGCAGGAAGCUCGACAGGGGGAAACGAACGAGCAGGGCGAGGUGCGACCGGGACGGGCGAGGCUCGGCGGUGUUCGGUGUGCUCCGGUGUGGCGGCUCGAUGAGCAGGGCGUGACUCCGGCGAACGACGACGCGACGAACGGCAAAGGCGCGGGCAGGGGAGAGGAGUAGAGAGCGCGGGUAGGGAGGGAGAGAGGAGAGCUCGGUCGGCUCCUAUUUAUAGAGACAGGAGAGGGAGAGGGAGAGGGAGAGGGAGGGACGUCGGGGAGGAGGUAAAGGCGUCGGUGGCUUAACUCCAUUAAUGGCGCCGAUUAUCCAUUGAUGGAGAGAGGGAAGUGGGGGAGGGAGAGGAGGAGGUGGCGCGGCGGUUUCCGGUGCAGGGAGAGGAGGGGACGCGGCCAGGGGCGCGGGGCGGGUCCUAGGCACGGCGCGGGUGCGCGCGCCUGAGCGGCGGCGCGAGGAAGACGAGCCGCGGGUGGGCGGUCUGCAAAUGCAAGAGAGAGAGAGGGUAGGGAGAUGGCACGACUGGCUGGCUGCCCUAGUGGGCCUCGGCUAGGCCGAAUUCGGCCUGGCCGAGUGAUUAGGGUUUUGUUUUGCUUUUCUUUUUUUGUUUUCUAUUACAAAUAUAAAUAAAUAUAUUUUCAAAUAUUUCUAAAAAUCAUAAUAAUUAUCCAAAAUUAUUUAUGACCAAAAUAUUUAUUUUUGGACCAAUAUUUCCAUAUUAAUUAGUUAGAUUUUCAAUAUAAAAGAAAUUCCACUAAAACAAUCAUCAAUCUAAUAGGAGCAAACAAAAAUUAUUCUAAAUGCAAUUAAAAAUCAAACACUUAAAAGAAAAUUUCAUUACUAUAUUUACCACUAAUAAUCUAAAUGCAUUAUUUUUGGUUGAUGGUUUUGUGAUGUUACAGGUAUCCGCAUUAAAUGCAGGUGUUCCCUUCCUGUUUUCGGACGCUUUUGCCUUAUCUUCCUAGGAUUAGCUCGGGCGAGACGGACGGAGCGGUGGCGACCUCGAGCGAGGCGGAGUUCUACCUGAGGUGGGAGACUUUUGGGGAGAGGCCUCAGUAUAAGAGCUACCUCGCCUGUUUCCCCUCGGGGGUUACGCCUUUACUUCUCCUGAGUGCGUUCUUCGGGGGAAUAAUUCGGGUAUCCCUAAUUAUCACCCCUGACAACUUUGCACAAAUCAGCUAUAUGAGAACAAAACACAGAUGAUUUGACUACAAUAUCAUCAAUGUAAACUUUUACAGUGUUUACCAAAAACUCGUGAAAGAUCAAAUUCAUAGUGCUCUAAUAAGUGGCACCGAUAUUUUUUAAAUCGAAUGUCAUGACAACCCAUUCAGAUAAACCAAUGAAGCAUGUAUAUAUAAAGGACAUUUUAGACGCGUCUUUCUCGGCCAUGAAGAUUUGAUUAUAUCCGGCAUUACCAUAAAAAAGCUAAUAACUCUAUUUCAUAAUGCAUUAUUAAUUAAUAUGACGGCUAUAGCCAUAGAAUAUUCAUCUUUAGGUGUUGAUCCAUUUAAAUUCCGGAAAUCAAUACAACUCUAAGCUUACCAUACUCCUCCACCAGCACAAUAUUAGAGACACACUCUACGUAUCUGCAAGGUCUAAUAAAAUUAGCUUAUAAGAGCCGAUGAAUUUCGUUCUUAAUCCUAGAGAGUAAGUCUGGACGAAUUGAUAUUGGUCUCGGCUUGAAGGGCCUGAAACCGGACUUAAUAGGCAACCGAUGCUCCUCUAGCUCUCAGCUUAACCCUGGCAUCUCGGUGUAACUCGAAGCAAAGCAAUCAGAAUAUUCUUUUAAUAAGCCGAUCAUUUCAUCUCUAGGAUUGUCUUUCAAGGUCUUGUUCACAAAAGUCGGCUUUUGAGUUUUACCAUCUCCUAUGUCAAUCUCCUCUAAAGGAUCGCCCGAUGUAAAUCGUUGUCCUAACUUGUCGAGAUCCCUAAAUUCCUCUAUUUUGGUUACUUUAGAGGAGUUAAACGCUCUCUGCGUGACUAUGGACUAUCCGGCCUCAGAGGUUGGAGCGUCCACGAUACCGGAAUCGCGCUAUGGCACUCUCUGGUAGCAGCCGGACUGUCCGGCCUUUUAGAGGCCGAACCAUCCAGGAAAGGGCCGAACCGUCCAGCCUCAGGCCGUCUGACCUUGGGGGCCGGACCGUCCACGACCUAGGUAUGCUCUCUUUAGAUGAAUUCAUUGUUUAACCUUUACAUGGGAUUUAGCCGAUUCUCCAUCAACUCUAGCAUUAUUUAACCUUUACAUGGGAUUUAGCCUAUGGGCGUAUCGUCCGUGGGUCGAACCUUCCAGUCCUCAGGGCUGGACCAUCCAGCCGUGACUAGUGCCACAAAUGGUGCUCAAUAGUUUGUUUGGUGGCCAAGGAAUAGGAGAGGAUUAAGGGCUUGUUUGGGAGAUAGGGAAAUGAAGGGGAUUAGAGAGCUAAAUUUCACUCGCUAUUUAAAAUUGAAUAGGGGGAGAUUUUAGCUCUCAAUUCCACUUGGUCUCAAACAUGAAGUUGGAAAUCUCUUCCUAUUCAAAAUAUUGAAUAGUUGCGCUACCAAACCAGCCCUUAGAUUCCGCCAUCACAUCUCUAAUAAAAAUUACGGUUUAGAAAAUUGUAAUGAUGUGGAUUCAGUCUGUACAAUUGCAGGAUUUGAAGCCUGUCAGUAGUGCAGCGCGGGUGAUCAAUAACAGAGGCAUAUCGCACACGUUGACGCGUACAAAUUAGAAUACAAGAAGUAUUUUCAAUCAAUUUAGCCCAAAAGGAAAUAACGACUUUUCGACCUCGCUUCCCAAAUCUGACGCUCUUUGGUCGGCCCACUAGGCGUCUAGGCCCAACCCGCCAUUCCAUGCGGUCAUCCAAUCCUAAACUAGGUUUGCCUGGCCUCACGGUCACGAGGACGUGAGGCGUGAUGUCUAGUGAAUAUAUAUGUAUAGAAAGCACGAAGCAUGAAAGCCCAACUAGAAGCACGUUUUUUGGCCCCGUACGAGCUCGAUCCGGACCGCUUUUAUACGGGCCUAGGCCAGUCCGGCACGAAUUAGCGGACCAGGUUCGAAUAGGAAACUAAGCAUGGUGGGCUAGCCUGGCCCGUCCCAUUUACCUAUAAGCCCGUCAAGCCUGCUUUUUGCACUAAAUCAUUCUUACCAGCCUGUUUUUGGCCCACUUUUUCCGUGCUUACCGAGCCGACCCGGCCCGUUUAGGCCUGCAGCGGCCCGAGCUCGAACAGAGGAACGAGCCCGCGGCUUAGACGGACCGGUCUGGCUUUCUAACAGUGCCUGGCGGGCCGGGCCCGGCCAGGCAGCCGUUUGGCCAUCUCUACUAGUGAACGUGCGACUCCCUCCAGCUCAGGGCGACUGGCUACUACUGAGCUAACUUAUACAGUAAAUUUCAGCAAAUAUAUCUCGUCCUCUAUAACAAAUCAAUUAUAUUAACAUGACAUAUUCUCUUACAAAGCAACUACCAAACAGAGGCAAUUGAGACUCCAAAGUUAACUCACUCUUGAUUCUGUUAAUUUUUAUUGGUGCGUCCAAGAACGAAGUCAGGCCCGUUUGGAUCAUUUGAAUUGAAUUCUAUUUAAUAAUCAUGAUUUAAGCAUAUAUCAAUUAAGCUAAGCUAAUUAUAUAGAAUAUAUUUAUAUGCUGAAUUUCUACUGUACGAGAGCGAGUCGAAGAGCAUGCCAUAAAUUAUAGAAUAGAAAUAUAAACUGGUGAUACAUAAAAUCAAUUUUUAUUCCUCGCUCUACAAAUUUAAGAUAGGCUUAUGUUUAAACUUUGAAAAAUGGUAGAAUAUCAAAUUCCAAACUAAAUAAGAUACUCUACUAAGUAGAUUCCAAUUCCUCUAAAAGAAUGGAUCUAAACAACCCACAAAGGAAAUUUAAUUAUGCCCUUAAAAGACCAGAUAGGCAAGAGCCGAGACAACAUCAAAACCACACCAACUAUAUCACUGAAUUGGCACAAGUAUGCAGACAAAAAAAGUUGAUCACAUUGUUCUAGAAUCUAAAAUUUAGGAAUAAGAUUACAUGGCUGGUCAUUAAGUAGUGAGAAUUAAAGAAUAACAUAAGGUAUAUAUACUAGACAACGUCUGAUUAGUUCAUAAGCAAGUAUUUCCAUUUUAACCAAUAUAUCUUUGUUGUCAAUUUCAGCAGGCUUAGCAUCAAUAACUACAAUUGCUUCCUCAAAAUAUAACUUUAUAAAGAGAGGAUUAAAAAAAGACCCCACAGGGUUACGGCGCGCCGGCUUGAGCACGACGUCGAGCAUCUUGCACAUGUCUUCCCCGCCACUGCCUACGUGACCGCAAGGCGAAGGUUGAUUAAGGCAUUGGAUAGGCCGAUUCAUGGAACCGAAGGAGACGAGACCGGGGGCGUAGUUGUGGCGACGACGGUGGUAGACGAGGACAACAGUGGUGAGGGAGGGUGACACGAGUGAUUGCUCGAAGGUGGCCUUGAGGACUACUAAGGAGGAGGCCUGACGCAUGAGCGGCUAACUAAUAGGUCAUUGAGGAUGGAGAGGAUGAGCUGCUCGAGCCUGACUUUAAUGGUGAGCAGGGGAUAUUAUGUGGCCUCGAGACAUCCCAGUGCUUCUGCGCUUAUGCUCGUUUUAGCGUCGCGAUAAGCGUGUUCAACAACGGCGGCUCUGAUUGUAAUAUCUUAGCCCUAGUGGAUAGUGAUAUCUUAGCCCAAGACUUAAUAGAAUUAAUAAAGUAUUCAUACCAACAAUAUGCAUCUUCUUUUUCGGAAGUAUGUCUUCAAAGAACCUCUUAGUUAAGUGUGCUUGGUCUACCACAAUCUUAGGACGGGUGACCGACCAGGAAGUCUUCUCGAGUGCGCAUAAGUGAGGACAAAGUGCGCACAAAAGACUCGUGUUGAUCUGUGGGGAUGGUCUAUGAUCCUAAAGGCUGCCAAGAGUAAAUAUCGUCGGUCGGGGAGUAGGCGUGGUGUUACAAAUGGUAUAAGAGCCGACCCUCGCGGUUUCACAGGCGUGUAUGGGCUAGGAGUUCGGGCAUAUGGCACAUGUGGGCCUGGAGUGGUCACAUGGAAAUAGCAUAUGACGACACUGGACACACAAUCGUGGCCAAGAGGGGAGGUUCCUAGCUUAGGGUUGACCGACAAGGACGUCGGUCUGCUAAAGGGGUGGAUUGUGAUAUCCUGCCCCUAAUGGAUGGUGAUAUCCUAGCCUAGGGCUUAAUAGAAUUAAUAGAGUACUCAUACCAACAAGAUGCAUCUUCUUUUUUGGAAGCGUAUCUUGAAGGAACCUCCAGAUUAAGAGUGCUUGGCCUAGAGAAAUCUUGGGAUGGGUGACUGACCGAAAAGUAUUCUUAGGUGUGCAUAAGAACAAAGUGCGCACAAAAGACUCGUGUUGGUCUGUGGAGAUGUUAUAUGAUCCUAAAGGGUUGCUAGGAGUAAGUACCGCCAGUCUGGGAGUGGACGAGGUGUUACACCGAUGUAUGUGUCGUCACUAUCACCGUGAGAAGCACACGUUUGAGGGAAGGGAAGCUUCGUGAGAGCUAGGAGGCCAUCUUGUCGUCAUCGAAGCCAUACAUCGAAGAGGAGUUGCUACACAGCGAGCACGACAAGAGGGUUCCGAGCUAGCACAGGAGUGAAUGUGCGGAGGCAGCGGUAGCGAGCCCACCACAUUUAGCAAAUGAAGAAUACAUCCUCUAUCGUAGCAGAGAUUUUAGCGCGACAUGCUGGAGGAAGAAAGGAGCCCAAACACUAAAUGUAGCGAACUGAACGGUUUAUUGUGUCCUGCUGGAGAUAGCUUAAAGUGUAGAAGACUUUGUGGAUAUAGUCUUAGAGAUGUUGCUAGAUGUUGCUCACUUGCAUGCAAUGAUAACGUAAACGGUAGACGAACGAUGAGGCUAUAUUUAGUGUUUAGACGUGUUUAAACGAAAUUAAACGGUCUAAACAAUUUUAUACUAUAGCAACAUUUUAGCAAGAUUACUUUCACUAACCUUUUUUGAAGUAAACACAAAGCUUUUGAUGUCCUCUCCAUCUAAACCAUGUACCUACAAAAGAAGGGUUCAUAGUUAGUAUGUAAUAUGUAAAUUUUAGCAAGAGUACAUGAAUAAAUCCACAUAUAUAUUUGGUUUAGCAAUACAAAAUUAUGAUAGAUGGACAACAGCUCAGACAUAACAUAUUACAUAUCCAUAUAACCAAAAUGACCAAUUCAAGACAACUAAACUCAGCCCCUAUUUUAGCUAAUUAUAGAACAACUAAAACAUGUUAGAAGAAGACAUAUUCAUGUAUAGAAUGUGUCAAGAAACCAAAGGAAAGAAGACAAGAUCGGGUAGAGAAGGUGAGGGAACCCUAACAGUAACAUACCAAUGCAGAUGAGCCUGCCACAUUUUGGGCCUAUCAAUAAAACUGCCCAAUAAAUAGGCUAAACAGCGUUUAAACCUGUUCCGUUUAGCUUGUUUUGACCGAACGUUGACCGUUUAAAUGAGUCAACUGUUUAGAGGACCAUCUAGGCCUUAAACUGCACGGUGUUCCUCCGUUCAUCGUUUAGACCCAUUUAAAUGGUCAUCUAAAACUGUUUAGGGUAACACUGCUUGCAUGAAAUCGGAGUUGGAUGAGGAAGAUCUAACAAAGAGAAGAACAUUGCAAAUGGAAGGACAGAGGUGGAAAAGAGAAGUUUUAGAGUGCAGAAGACUUUGUGAAGGUAUUUUUUUAUUCACUCAUGUGGACUCCACUAUAUACCUCUAACCCAAAACAAAUCAAAAGCAAAGAACAUGGGUAUGGGCAGAAGUGCUAGUAUCCCUAUCUAUUUCCUUUCCUUCUCUUUUUACGACAUGUACAGCCCUGAUCCCCUAGAUUGGUUUUCAAUGUAAAAGAGACAACUAAGAGGCUGCAUUAAUACAACUCUGAGCUCCUAAAUAAUAAAUAUAGUUAAGAGGCAAUAGGUAUAGAGAGUCGUGUAGAGACAGUCUUUUGACAAAGUGAACCAUCUCUUGUACUUUUUUUAUUUAGCUCCCUAAAGAUCAAUCAAGAGACCCUUUAUUAAAUGGUAUUGUACAUAUACCAUAUCCCACUAUAUUUCCUAUUCCCUAUCCAAUAUCCAUAGCUUCAUCCAAACGCCACUUAAACCUACACAGGUCUGCUACGGGCCUAAAUCCUCCCUCCCCAUUAAUCAGCCACGGCCCCACUAAGCCCGUUUGCCGCAUAAGCCCACCCCCCGGGUAGCUUACAUUUCAGUCCUAGGCACAGUUGCAGCAAAAACACAGCAAAUUUGUAAGCGAUGAUCGACUCUGAAAGACGACCGUUUGCUAAAACUUCAGCCAACCCCCCCCCCCCCCCCCCCCCCCCCCUCCCCCCGGGUUUUGAAAGCCAUCACCAGCUGGGAAACACUUCAUCUGGCAGAGUUCAGUAGACCACGGACCAGCCCAAAUUUGAACUGUACCGAACAUCAUAUUCAUGCCGGCUGGUCUGUCAACUAUUCCUCCAUAGGAUUUGACCGUAAGCAACGAUUCAGUCCUUGGCUGCAUCCAAGGCAACAAUUCAAAGAUCUCAUUUUCUUUCCGAAUUACUAUAUGUGAACCAGCUACCACCUCAUGUACAUGCGACGACUUUUGCACCACCUCACCCAUCUUUUUUCAACAUGAGUGGAAUCCAGUUCGCCAAAGUAAACAACGACCAGGCCAGAUGACCAGCGAACUUCUGUCCAGGCGUCCAGGCCAGAUGACCAGCUAUAAGGCACAUAGUUCUAGUACAAUACAUACUAGUACUAAAUACAAAAACAACAGUGCUUCAAUGCUUCAUGCACUGAUAUAUUUUCUAGAGCCAUACCAAAACCAUGAGGGCUCUAGAAACUUCGUUCACCCCGCUAUCAACGAUACUACUAGCAGCUUGUUCACUUAACUUUAAUCUGUACCGGCUUCUAUUAUUUCUACAUUGUUUUUGUCUCCAUGGAUUACGACUAUAGCAAUCCAAACAGCCUUGUUUUUUCUUAUUCAGAAGAUUACUGAGUUUUGCCAUUUUUUUCUUUUCUUUUGCUGAACCUUGAUAGCCACCGUCAAUCCUUGGAGAGCAAGGACAGUUUUGCCAAUGAGGAAAGACUGUGACCAAAAAUGACAGUUUGACUACUAGCAGCCACCAUUGUUAAGCGCCCACAAUCCUCUGCAACCAUAAGGAAAGUUUGACUAUGAGAAAGACUCGUACAAAAAGGACGGCUUGACUAAUGACUACUAUAGUAGCCACCAUGCUUUCAUGGAUUGAAAGAAACAUUCUACCAAAUCCUUGACAUGACGUGUCCUGGAACUUUGUGCAAACUUCCCAUGGGUCAGCCUCAUGCAAAUAAUAAAUCCUUCAUUUUAGCAAUGCAAAUCUGUACCAAGUCAGUCUCAAGUUUUGGAUAAGUAGUACCUACAGGUCGUGUGACCACACAGCAAAAUUAAAGAACUUCCAAUGUGCAAACCACAGCGCACGACCAAUGGAGGAGUAGAAAAGUACAGACAUGGUGGCGAACCAAAACAUUACCUUGUUCAUCCUGUCCGUAGGCCUUAGUAUUGCUGGAUUCACUGCUGGGGACGACGACCAAUUCGUCUACACCGGCUUCGCUAGCAGCAACCUAACCCUCGAUGGUGGAGCGACAGUCACGCCGAGCGGCCUCCUUGAGCUAACCAAUGGCACCGUUCGGCAGAAAGGCCAUGGAUUCCACCCCAGUUCGGUGCUCUUCUACGAGUCCUCUAGUGGUGCAGUGCAGUCUUUCUCUGUAUCCUUUGUGUUCGCCAUUCUCUCUACCUAUCCUGAGACUGAGAGUGGUCAUGGCCUAGCUUUCUUCAUUGCGCCAGACAAGAAUUUAUCGGGUUCAUUCCCAACCCAGUACUUGGGCCUCUUCAGUGACCAGACCAAUGGUGACCCAAACAGCCACAUCUUUGCAGUUGAGCUCGACACCGUCCAAAAUUAUGACCUACAGGACAUCAACAGUUACCAUGUUGGCAUCAACGUCAAUAGUCUACGCUCCAUCCGAUCCCAUGAUGCAGGCUACUAUGAUGAUAAAAGUGGUUUGUUCAAAGAUCUGUCACUCGAUAGCCAUGAGGCGAUGCAAGUGUGGGUGAACUACAACAGAGAAACCACACAGAUCAAUGUCACCAUAGCUCCCCUCAAUGUCGCCAAACCAGUGAGGCCAUUGCUGUCUGCUAACUACAAUCUCUCAGCAGUCAUCACUAAUCCGGCGUAUAUUGGUUUCUCAUCCUCAACAGGCUCUGUUAGUGGGCAACACUAUCUGCUUGGUUGGAGCUUUGGCAUCAACAGUCCUGCUCCACCAAUCGACAUUACCAAGCUGCCAGAGAUGCCUCGUCUUGGUCAGAAGGCUCGGUCGAAAGCAUUACAGAUAACUCUGCCAAUAACAAUUCUGGCUCUGUUCCUUGCUGCAAGCAUUACUAUUUUUUUAUUCGUGCGGAGGAAGCUAAGAUAUGCUGAACUACGUGAAGAUUGGGAGGUUGAGUAUGGGCCUCACAGGUUCUCAUACAAGGAUUUAUUCGAUGCCACAAGAGGAUUUAGAGAAGCUAACCUGUUAGGUACAGGAGGGUUUGGAAUGGUGUACAAGGGGAUUCUCCGUGGAUCCAGACUGAAUAUUGCUGUGAAGAGGGUGUCACACGACUCAAAACAGGGCAUAAAGGAGUUUAUAACAGAGAUUGUUAGCAUCGGCCAUCUUCAACAUCGUAACCUGGUGCCCUUAUUGGGGUACUCCCGGCGGAAAGGCGAGCUUCUCUUAGUGUAUGAUUACAUGCCCAAUGGAAGCCUCGACAAAUACUUGUAUGGUAAAGAGGGCAAGCCUACUUUAGAUUGGAAUCAAAGGUUCCAAAUAAUCAAAGGAGUAGCAUCUGGUUUACUCUACCUUCAUGAGGAGUGUGAGAAAGUCAUCAUACAUUGUGACAUCAAGGCAAGCAAUGUGCUCAUCGAUAAUGAGAUCCAUGGGAGGAUUGGUGAUUUUGGUCUCGCGAAAUUGUAUGACCAUGGCACUGACCCAGAAGCCACACAUGUGGUUGGCACCAUAGGAUACCUGGCUCCGGAGGUAGCACGCACUGGCAGGGCAACCCCUCUGACGGAUGUUUUUGCCUUCGGUAUAUUCAUUCUUGAGGUCACAUGUGGGCAGAGGCCUAUCAAGCAAAGUACCCAAGACAGGCAGGUAAUGUUAGUUGACUGGGUGCUGGAACAUUGGCAUAAGGGAUCACUUACUGAUACAGUGGACAUCAAAAUUCAAGGUGAAUAUGAUAUUGAUGAGGCAUGUCUAGCACUGAAGCUAGGAUUGUUAUGCUCCCACCCAUUCACUAGUGCAAGGCCAAAUAUGAGGCAAGUCAUGCAGUACCUCAACAAAGAAAUGCCAAUACCAGAGUUAACACCAAACUUAAGCUUUUCCAUGCUAGCCUUGAUGCAGAAUGAUGAGCUGAUAAUGCACUGUCCAUCAGAAAUAGGCUUCGGCACAAUAUCUACCAUCUCAGGAGUCAGGAGGUAGAUGACUAGAUGCUAUGGGGCUUGACAGUGGCAGGCACAGGUCUUCAAUGUUUGCAUGCACAGUUGCACACAUAGUCAAUGUUCCAUAAAGAUGAAGACAUGAAGUAAACUCUAUAAAAUAGAGUCGCUUAAUAUUUUUUUAUGCUCUUCCUUUGUCUGUUUUAGACUAAAUUACCCCAUUGUUUGUGUGCUCGUUAAAUUCAUCUUUGUCAUUCUCGAAUUAUAUUCAAUCUCAUUUUCAUUCAUAAACAUACAAUUUUCUUGUCAUUAAAAUAAAAUCCAUAUAACUGGACAAGAUUUCUCCAAGACAACGAGAAAAUACAUCACAAUCGCAGACAUAGUCAAUGAAACCAAGGAAAGUGACUGCAUUGAUGGUAAUGACUAAAUCAGAGCAUUUUUUGAGAUAUUUUAAAGAAAUGGGACAUGUACACGGACAGAAAGGGAUUUUAAUGGUCCAGAGCUUGACUUGAGAAACACACUAGAUCAUAACAUAAUAUGUGUUGUUUACUCAUAUUUGAGAAUAAGAGCUCCACUUAGUGUUAUGAACCACAACCACAUACCAUGCGAGGUGUGCAAUUGAGAUAUACCAGUGCUAAUAAGGCAUCUGGUUGAUAAGUGAUCCAUACGUAGUCAAAGGAAGAACUGAAUCAUAUCAUACAUCAAAAAGUAUGAAUCAGUUGUAUUUCAUAUAAUAAUAAAUCUAUUUCGACCUUAUUAACCGGCCAAUAUCUAGAUAAACUAAACACAGGGAGCAAACAUGGUCAGCGAGAUUAAUGAAAAUUGAAAGCAGUGAUUGUACAGAAAUCCUACCACAGCACGCAUUUCUUGAUAUAUUCCUAACAACUGGGACAUAGAGACAAUGGGCAAGGAAAUUUCAUUCUCAACAAAUUGUCCCAAGAGACACGAAUACUUGACACUAGACAUGUUGAUCAACCUAAUGAACAAGCACAUGGCCACUAUGUUAAGCUAUGAAAAUAACCAUGAAAGCAGCAUUGGAUUUUUAGUAGCUGAAAUUACUUUUGACCAAUAAACUUUUUCACUGAAAGUCAAGUCCUAAUGUAUUAGUUAAACUAAAAUAAGUCAUAACUAGCCAUCCAAUUAAAAAAAGACUACCUGCUCUCCACUGAGCAGGCCUGAUGCACUGGUGAGAAGCCUUUUUAUUGAGCCAAAGAUCCUAGGUUCGAUGCAGUCUCUCUGUAAAAAAUGCAUGUUAAGGCUUGUCUCGGUUAUUCCUUCCCCAUACCUCACUUAUAGAAGCCUCUAGCACUGGGUCUGUCCUUUUUACCUACCCUGGAGGUAGCAAGAACCAAAAGAGCCAACUGUAGUACAUUAAGAGAAAGAAGUCCUCACAAUGUGAAACCUUCAAAGAAAAUGUAUGGAAAAAAUCAACAGGUCAAAGUAUCUAGCAAAUGUUUGAACCUGAACAAAUAGCUAACUUCACUGAUUCAACAUCCACUGACAGUGACUCAAUUAUUGAAUGACAUAUGUCUUCGAAGAAAAGUAAACAUUAAACACCUUACCGGUUCAAUUCCACUAUAUAUUAACAACAAACUGAGACUAGAUGUAGAGGACAACUGCAAGCCCCAGGUAGCUCAGAAAAUACUUUGCUCUUGCAUCCUUCUUGAGCUACCACAAGUUACAUCCAUGCCUGAAAAGAAACAUAAGUGGCUCAUUCUAUACCAUCUUCUCUACCUUUCCAUCCUCAACUUUACAUCCUUCAUCAUUGCUGGUGAUCAAUUCGUCUACUCCAGCUUCAGAGAAGCAAAUCUCAGCCUAGACGGCACUGCCACAAUCAAACCAGAUGGGCUCCUUGAGCUAACCAACGGUAGCUUUAAUCUCAAAGGCCAUGCAUUCUACCCAACUCCUCUGCAUUUCCGCAAGUCAUCAGGUGAAAAUGUGAAAUCCUUCUCAGUCACCUUCAUCUUCAGCAUCCUCUCUGCCUACCCUGACAAGAGUGCAGAUGGCAUGACCUUCUUAGUCACAACAAACAAGAAUUUCUCUGAUGCAUUUCCAGCCCAGUACCUAGGACUCCUCAAUGAUCAGAACAACGGCAAUCCAAACAACCAUAUCUUUGCGGUUGAGCUUGACACCAUACAAAACAGUGAGUUCGAGGAUAUCAACGACAACCACAUUGGCAUUAAUAUUAAUGGUCUCCACUCGGUACAAUCCCAGGGUGCUGGUUUCUACGAUGACAAAAACGGUAUGUUCAAGAACAUGUCACUCAUUAGUCGUGAGGUGAUGCAGGUGUGGGUGGAAUAUGAUGGAUGGACCACACAGAUCGAUGUAACCUUGGGUCCCAUUAAAAUGGCUAAACCUAAUAGGCCACUAGUCUCAGCCAUCUACAAUCUAUCAACAGUUCUCACAGAUACAUCAUACAUUGGAUUCUCAUCUUCAACUGGUGUAAUUAACUCAAGAUAUUGCUUGCUUGGUUGGAGCUUCAGUAUGAGCAACACAACUCCAGAGAUUGACAUCACCAAGCUGCCAAAGUUACCUCGUGUUGGCUCCAGGUCACCAUCAAAGGUCCUGACAAUCAUUCUUCCAACAGCCAUUGCAUCAUUCAUCUUUGUUACUGGAAUCACCAUCAUUUUACUGGCACGGAGGAAAUUGGCAAACAAUGAGCUACAGGAAGAUUGGGAGGUUGAGUUUGGACCACAUCGGUUCACAUACAAAGAUCUGUUCCUUGCCACUGAAGGAUUUAAGAAUAAGAAUGUGCUGGGUGCAGGAGGAUUUGGGAAGGUGUAUAAAGGUAUACUUCCAACAUCUAAAUUAGAAAUUGCAGUGAAGAGGUUGUCACAUAACUCAAAGCAAGGAACAAAAGAGUUCAUCACUGAGAUUGUUAGCAUUGGCCACCUUCGACACCGAAAUCUCGUGCAGUUACUAGGCUAUUGCAGGCGAAAAGGUGAACUUCUAUUGGUAUAUGACUACAUGCCAAAUGGUAGUCUUGACAAGUUUCUAUACUGUGAAAAUGACAAACCUUCACUGGAUUGGGCUACAAGAUUUCACAUCAUAAAAGGAGCUGCAUGUGGCCUGCUCUACCUUCAUGAGAAGUGGGACAAAGUUGUAAUCCACCGAGACAUCAAAGCAAGCAAUGUGCUUCUUGAUAGCAAAUUCAAUGGACGGCUAGGAGACUUUGGCCUUGCAAAGUCAUAUAACCAUGGCACAGACCCACAGACCACACGUGUGGUUGGCACCAUGGGUUACCUGGCCCCAGAAUUGGUACGCAUGGGUAAAGCAUCCCCACUUACAGAUGUGUUUGCCUUUGGCACAUUCCUUCUUGAAGUGACAUGUGGGCAUAGGCCUGUAAAGCAAAAUGAGCUAGGUGAGCAUAUUAUGUUGGUUGAUUGGGUACUUGACCAUUGGCAGAAAGGAUCAUUGGUGGAGACAAUAGACAAGAGGCUAGAAGGUAACUGCAACAUAGAUGAGGCGUGCCUGGUUUUAAAACUUGGGCUCUUGUGCUCACAACCAUUCGCUAGUGCAAGGCCUAGUAUGCAUCUUGUAAUUCAAUACCUUAAUGGUGGCAUGCAGUUGCCAGAGUUCACACCAUCAGAUAUAAGCAUCAACAUGCUAGCCUUUAUGGAAAAUAGGGGAUUCAAUCCUUCCUUGAUUUCAUACCCACAGCUGACAAUGAGUGUUGGCACAAUGUCAAGCCUCUCAGGUGGAAGGUAAAAAUGAUUUGAGGUCAUUAAUCAGAGCAAUAGCAGGUUUCUUUUGUAUAUUACACGGGGUGAUAUCUAUUAUUGCAUAUUUCAGAAUUAAAAUUUUUAGGGUGUAUUUGAUUUGAGCAACCACCUCAUGCUACAUGACCUGUUGCAUCAUGAAUUCAUUACAGGGGUGUUUGGUUUGAAGAAUGAGUUAGUCUAUCAUCUAUUCAUUUCUCACUUUUUUGUUUGGUUUAUGGUACAGUGUUUUCAAGUCGUCUGACUAUUUGUGAUUAGUCAGUCUAAUCGGUACUCGGUAGGUAUCAACCGACCAGCCCCACCGAUGCGACUAGGCCGACCAAAAUAUUAGUAUUAGACAUGGGAUGACCAGUUUAGAGUUUAAACAUGACUGUAGAUGGGCUUUUGAAGCAGGGGAACUUGUAGGCUGCAAUUUGCUUUGUGGGCAUCUAGGGUUGAGAACGCUCAGGCAAGAACUCCAGUCCCAAUCUGCACAGGCGCACAGCCGCCCUCCAGCCUAUAGUCAGCACAGCAGCCCUCCAGUCGGUAGCUAUACGAUUAGGUUCAACUAGACGACUUGAAAACAUUGUUAUAAUGUUAUGUAUAAUAUGAUGAUGCACCAUCACCUCAAGUCAAUAAUUAAUACUAGUACAAGGAAUGAAGUCAUUCCAUCAUAAUUGAGGAAUUAACUCAUGAUGCACCUCAUAUAGGACCAUGCAUAUAUUAGUUAUUAGCUUCGAAGGAAUAAGGUGGUGAUGGAUCAACUCAUUCCAUCUUACAAACCAAACAAAAAAGUGAGGCGUGAGAAAAUGACAUACCACAGCAUUCCUUAAUCAAACACACCACAUGCUGCACUUGCAUAGCAGCGUGUGAUUAUGUAUCUAGAUGCUAUAUUCACUUAUUCAGUAUUCAAAUGGUCGAACCAAAGUACGCACACGGGGAACUGCUACCAUUAUCUUGUAAUAAAAUUAUGAUCAAACUAUAUCUUUUUAUUUGGUCAAUUUCCUUUACAAUACUGACUUAGACGCCCUAGUGCCUAAACCACACACGCAUCCAUAAGGUUCAGCAAUCACACGCAGAACCUCAACCAACUUGGGUACGGUUGUCUGAAAUCAGAAAGAUUGCAUCUUGAAAGAAACGGAAGCGUACCAAUUGUGGUUGAGCAGAGGACAUCAGGUAAGCAUCAUCGCUUCCUGGCUACCAACGAAAGCGUGCCCAUUGGCCAUCACGUGCACCACCGGCAGGACUACUGGUAGGCCGACGGCCGCCGCGCAAACUGCACCCUUGUUUAGAGACGCCGAGCCGCCGAGGGUGAGCCGCCGCAGGAGCAGAGAACGCGGCGGGCGGAAUGGGCGGAUCAGGGGCGGAGCCAGGAUUAC